rnacentral:lncRNA from 1 species
UUGAGUCUAGUCACUGUAUAUACAUAUCACAAGAACCUCGAGUAUUUCUUGUCAGCACAUGUAUUAAAUCAUCAUCAAGCUUGUUGGAGCAUGUCUUUAUCAAGAUUUGAGUUUAUUAUCAUUUAUCGGCCAAGAAAACAACAAAGUUUGUUUGAUGCCUUGUCUAGACGUUCUUAUCUUGCACCAAAAGAAGGAGAUGCAACUUUUGAGCAACAAAGAAUGGUUCUCUUGAAGCCGGAGCAAUUUCAUCUUUGAGCAAUAAAAUCAACAUUGAUUGUUGAUUUAACUUUUUUUAAGCAAGUCCACUUAAGUAUGUCUUCAGACCCUCUUGUUCAUGAUAUCAAGAAUAAUUCUUCUAAAUCUCAUGAUCCUUCUAAAUUCGAAUUCAAGAACAACCUAUUCUAUUUCGAAAGAUGCCUACAUGUUCCAGAAGGAGAAGCACAUUUACGUAUUCUUCAAGCUCGUCAUGACUUUUCACCAGCAACACAUUUUGGAUACAAAAAGACUUUGGAGCAGAUAUCUAGGGAUUUUUGGUGGCCUCAAAUGUGGAAGGCAAUCAAAGAUUUUGUACAAUCAUGUGAUGUUUGUUCUAGAUCAAAAACUCCUCAUCAUCGAACUUUUGGACUUCUUCAACCAUCACCUAUUUUAGAACAACCAUGGUCUUCUGUUUCUAUGGACUUCAUCACAGAUCUUCCAAUCUCAGGUUCUUAUGACUCUAUAUUCGUGAUAGUAGAUCGUUUUACCAAUAUGGUAUAUUUUGUACCAUGUAUAAAAUCUAUCAUAGGUGAAGAAAUAGCUAAACUCUUUCUUAACAAUAUCUAUCACUAUCAUGGAUUAUCCAAGGAUAUUAUAUCAGAUAGAGGAACUCAAUUUGUAUCAAGAUUUAAGCGGAUUCUUUUUAAGAUUCUAAAAGUGGAUAUAAAACUAUCUUUGGCAUUCCAUCCUCAAAUUGAUGGAUAAACGGAGCAUGUUAAUCAAGUUUUGGAGCAAUAUUUAAGAUGUACCAUUAACUACCCAUAAGAUGAUUGGACAAUUCUUUUGUCAUUGGAAGAGUUUGCUUAUAAUAAUACGGUACACUCUUCUACAAAACAAACACCUUUCUUUACUAAUUAUGGUUAUCAUCUACGACUUGAUACUUUUGACUUUUCAAAAGUUGAUAAUCCUACUGCAAAAGAUUUAGCGAUUCAUUUGUCAGAGCUACAUGCAACGAUGAAGGCGCAGUUAAAACAAGCUCAAGAACAACAAAAGGUCAAUGCGGAUGUCUAUCAAAAGGAACAACCACCAUUCCACUUGAGUGAUAAGAUAUGGCUAUUCCAUCAUAAUAUCAAGACCACUUGUCAUUGUGACAAGUUGGACUAUCAAAGGCUACGACCAUUUUCUAUUUCUGCACAAAUCAAUCCUGUCGCAUAUCGUUUACAUCUAUUGGAGUCAAUAAAAAUCCAUCUAGUAUUCCACAUGUCUCUUCUUGAACCAUACAAGACAAUGGACAUACCAAAAAGAUGACAAGCUCCAUCUCUUUCUAUAGAAGUAGACAAUAAUGAAGAGUUUGAAGUAGAAGAAGUCUUAGAUUCAAGGCGAUGCCGAAAUAAAUUAGAAUAUCUUAUCCAUUGGUGUGGAUAUGAUAUUAGUGAAUGCACAUAGAAGCCAGUAAAGAAUCUUGCAAAUGCAGCAAAGGGGGUGGAGGCUUUUCAUCAAUGACAUCCAUCAAAAUCAAGAUGAAAACCUUCUUUAUAAAAGAAACAACAUCUAGACAAGAUAACAUUCUACUUUCAAUCCUUGUUUGUAGCUUCUUUGUAGUUGUGAUGCUCGAGAGAUGGAGAACCAACAACCAGCAGAUGUGACUCAAGAGCCUUCAUUUAUUGACCUACCAGACGAGAUAUUACGAUUGUCACAACCUUCAAGAAGAUGUAAUUGAGAUGAAGAUCUUCAAGAAUGACAUGUUCUUCCUUGAAUAGAUGGCGAGAUACAACACGUUUAGUAUUACGACUUCGAAAGGGACUCCCGAUGUUUUGUGAUUUUACUAGAAGUAGGAACAAUUCCUGAUAGUGUUCCAAAUGUUCUAUUCGAAGGAAGUUAUGAAGGCCUCAACAAUGAUCAAAUAAUUGGGUCGUCUUUCUGUCUUGGUAUGGGACACUACUGACAGUUGAGAAGCCCUAUCAAUCAUCUUCAAAGAGAACAAAGAUCAGAGUAUGUAGCGAAUACAAUUCGUCGCAUCAUAGAUUUCCUCAACAUAUGAUGACCGCUCCUCGUGGAACUCAUCCCUAGAGGAAGGGGGGGGGGGUAAUGUCAUAGACAUACUCAUGUAAGCUAGUAAUUACAUAAAUAAAUAGAUAGAAGUAAGUAAAAGUAGAUAAAAGUAAGUUAAUUCUAUAGUAUUUGGUAUGAGAGCUUCUUAGAAGCUUUAUAGACACUACUUUGACUUUAUAAGUGUCUUUAAUUGAUUUUUUGGAUUAGAAAUGUAGUCAACAAGUUGGCCAUGUACCACACAUGUUGUUAGCUUGAAGAUCAAGCUAACAAUGUGGCCCACACUUAGAAAAACUUACCUUGUAAGUUAAGGCAUGUAUCCUACAAAGUCAACACUUAUUGGAGGUCCUAUAGAACAUCGUCAUGUAGCCCCUAGUUAGAUAGUAUAUAUAGAGACAAGAGUGAAGCCUUCUUCACUCUUGUCAACUCCUUUUUUGCUUCCAGUCUAGUUUCAAGGGUCUCUAGUUUUCUUAUCUUUUGGCAAUAGCCAUUCCAGUUUUUCUUUUAAUAUACAUACUUGUUUAUUUAUAUUUUGUUACCUUUCUUUGAAUGAAGGCUCACUUGUCUAAAUUGCUUUUUCAUUGAGUUCUUCUCCUUCACAAUAGUAUAUUGUCGCCCUUGCUUAUACUCAAGCUAGAUAUCAAAAAGCUAUAAUUGUUAUUCUCAAUGAUGAUAUUUUAAUUUCAUAUUUUUUAAAUGUAAAUCAUAUAGCAAAGGUUGAUGGUUAGUCGAAACAACCACUAGCUUCCCCAAUUGAUAGUAUUUCCAGAACUUUGUAGUGUGUAUAAUUACUAAUUGCUCUCAAUUAUAUGUAGGAUAAUUGUACUUUGUCCACCUUAGCUUGUGUGAUUAAUAUGCCACAGAUUGAAGGUUCCUACCAAAGUCUUGUUAAUAGACCACUCUAAUAGGAAAGUUGGAAGCAUUAAUGUCAAGCAUACAAAGAAGGUUAGAAUUAUACAAUUGCAAUAUUAGAGCAGUAAUGAGUGCCUCCUUCAAUCUAUUAAAGGCACUUUACUACUCUAGUUUCUAUUCAAAUGAGACAUCUUUCUUCAAUAGAUUUAUCAAUUAGAUAAAAAUAUGAGCAAAUUUCUAAAUAAAAUGGAAAUAAUAUCUAGCAAGGCCUAAGAAUGACUAGACUUCAGAAGCAUUCUUGAGAGUUGGUAAAUCCUCCAUUGCUUUUACCUUAUUUUGCUCCAUAAACAUGUCUUCAAAGGACACCACAUGCUUCAAAAAGAUAACCUCUAACUUCCAAAGUUCAUAUUUUGAUUGCUUGCAAUAGAAGCAACUAUCUUAUAAUCAGUAUAGUACUUUUUAUAGAUAUUAUUUAUGCUAUUUAGAGAUUUUACUAUAUAUGAGGAUAUCAUCAAUGAAGACAACUAUACACUUAUCCAAAAGGUCCUAAAACAAUCUAUUUAUGUGACCAAUGAAAGAGGUUGGUCUAUUGGUAAGACCAAAAGGUAAAACUAGCCAUUCAAAAUAUCCAUAGUGCAUACAAAAUAUUAGCAUUUUUACAUCCUCUCUUAUAAUAGGUAUUUACCAUUAGCUAUUCCAAAGAUCCAAUUUACUAAAGAUGGUUGCACCUUGAAGUUGAUCUAGAAGAUCAUCCAAGUGUAGAAGUAGAUAUGCAUUCUUAUUAGUCUACUUAUUGAAGCCUCAAUAGUUGAUGCAAAGGCAAAUUCUACCAUCCUUCUUGAGUACAAAGAGUAAAAAUGCUAUCCUAUGGUGAUGUAUUUUUUCAAAUGAGAUCUUUCUCCAAGAGUUUGGCCAAUAUCAUCCGCAAUUCUUUAAGUUCUUUUGGUACUAGGUGAUAAAUUGGUCGACUUGUUGGUUUGGUUCCAAAGAAUAGUUCUAUUUGAAAGGGGGCACCUCAAUUAAGAGGCAUGCCACUAGGUAGGUCAAUUGGAAAGACAUCUUGAUAUUCUUAUAUGAAUUGAUUUGUCCAUUCUAUUCUUUUAGUUGUCUUUCCUACUACUAAGGCAAGAUUUGAAUCCACCAUAUAUACCAAUUGCUUAUGCUGUAUUUAUUUCUUCAUAAACAUCAUUUAUAUAAAUAAAUCUUUAGUUGUAGAUUGUCUUUCUUCUUUAUUUGAUGUGGAGGUAUGAAGAAUCACCUUGCGUCUACCAUCUUUAAAGAAGAUUGUCCUUCCUACACAAUCAAUUUGCUUAUUUUCUAUCUCUACCUAUGGUAUACCAAAGAUAAUAUCAUAUCUUAGCUUUUUCACCUUCAACCUCUCUCUUAAGACAUAUUUAUCAAUCAACCUCAUGGUUUCUUCUUCACAUGUCUUACUCAAUACAUUCUUUUAAUCAUUUCCAAGGUAUAUACUUCUUCCUUUGAUUGCCUUAAUUUUAAUUCUAAGUUGGUUGGCAAUUUCAAUUGAGAUGCAAUUUUUGUAAAGCCACAAUUUACAAGCACUUGACAUGAUUGUCUCUUUAGUAGUCCCAUUAGAUGUACUAGUCAAUUCUUUUUAUAGUUAUCUAAGGCCAUGUCAUUUGUCUUUAAGAAAUAUUAGUUAUGCCCAAUAUUGGCCCUCAAUGCCUUUAUUGAGGGGCCCUAUUUUCUUGCUCUGUCUCAUUGUCAACUUAGUGAAUUUUAAGAUUUUGAAUUUGCCUUGUUUUGUUAGUGCUUGAAUUUUGACAUUUAGGACAAUCUUUGAUCUGAUGGCCUAACUCUCAACAAUAGAAACACAAUUCUUUUUACACCAAUAUUUGUUGUCUUUAUAGUAUCAAUGAUCCUUAUACGGCAUCAAUCUCCAUUGGUGUUGGUUGUUGUGCCAUAGUAUUAGAUAGCAAUAUAGGACUUUGUGCCAUAGGUUGUACUCCACAAUUUUUGAAAUCUAUAGCAUCGACCCUCUGUACAAUCCAAAUUACCUCUUUGAAUGUUUGUGGAUCCCUUAGCUCUACUUCUUACUAGAUCCAAGGUUUCAAACCUCAUAGAAAUCAAUCUAUCAUCUUUGCAUCUAAAACAUUGCUAAUUUGGAGACAUAGAAACUUGAAUUGAGAGACAUAAUCUUGCACCGAAUUAGAUUGUAUAAGAUUUAUCAACUGAUUGUAUAUUAUCUUCUUUGCAUUGAUGGGCCAAAAUUUAUUCUUAAACUUGGUUUCAAACUCCUUCCAAUCACAAAAUCUAUCUUGAAUUCUAUAGCUUUGAACUCAAUGUUACCACCAAAUGGCUGCCACAUCUCUCAAAUAGUUGGCUGCAUAUAUAAUUCCUGUAGUGGUAUUUGCUCCAAAUAGUUGGAAGUAUUGUCACAUGUUAAAGAGCCAUUGACAUACAUCUUCUUGUCUUAAAGUCCUAGAGUAUAUACUAGGCUUACUCAAUUUCAGCCUAGUAGAUAUCGAUUCUCUUAUCCUUAAGGCUUCUAUUUGCUCUUGCAAAGUAGCUAUCAAGCCUAAAAAGUAUUGUAUUUGAGCCUCUAUGUGGGAUUGCUCUGUUAUAUCUCCUAUACUAUAAUUUCUUUGCUAGAUUCUACUAUUGUAAUGCCUUCUCAGCUCUCAAUUAAUUUUUUAAGAGUAACUUGUAAUAGCCUCAAUAUGGUACUUAGUGUGUCAACAACAAUUGACCUUGGAUUAGAUGAUGAUUAUUGACAUGCUAUCAAAAGUAAAUAUUCUAACACUUGGUCUAAUAUCAAUGAAAUAAGACUAGACUAUUUUAAAAAUCCAAAAUCCUUCUAAUUUAUAGUAACAUAAAGUCUUUUCAUAGAAUAGGACAAAAUAAACUAGAAAAAAAUUGAAUGAAAUUAAAUAGAAUGGGACAUGAAAGACAAAACUAAGUAACCAAAAUUAGAACAAAAUAGAAAAAAAUAAAAAGACACAAAAUCCAAUUGUAUUAAGAAAAAAGAUCUGAAGCCAUAUAUAAUCAGAUGCUCCAAAAGGUCCUAGCCAAUCCUAUUUAUACUUUAUUCUACCACCCUAGACUUUCUAAAAUAUUCUUAAGUGAUAGACUCCACAUAGAUAACCGCCUUAAAUUCCUUCUAAAAGGUUCUAUGAUAGGCCCAACUUAGAUAACUGUCCUAAACUCUUUCUAAAAUAUUCUACAGUAGAUUCUACCUAGACUACUAACCUAAUUCUAAUUUUAGAAACUUCUAUGGUUCUAACUAUUUAUUCCUAUGUAUCAAUAAUAUAAAUAUCUUAUCGAGGACUUAUUACACUAGUUGAAUAUAUAUGGAGGCAAGAGUAAAGCCUUCUUUACUCUAAUCAAUGCCUUUUUAGUCUUUAAGUCUUGUUUCAAGACUUUCUAGUCUUCUUGUCUUUGAUAAUAGCUAUUCUAAUUUAAUACUAUAUCAUCUUUGAAUGAUUUUUUAGUCUUUUUGAGUGACACAAGAAUAUAUUGAAAUUUUUCUUUUUUUGAAAUUUAUGUCUUUGAUACCAAAUCAACAACAUUACAAUUAUAUAAGUACUUCAUUAUUGAUGUUCAUAUUAGAAACAAUCAUUGGCAUAUAAAGCAAUAUAAUAAUCUUCAAUAAAUAUAUCCAUAGUUCUAUCUUCUAUAUAAGAAUAUGUUUAAUAUAUAAUAAAUAUGUCAAAACAUCCAUGAUAUAAAAAUGACUAAAUAAUCUAACAUAUAAAGCAAGCACAUAAAAUCUAAGGUGAUUUAUAGUCCGAAAUUGUACUUAGUGAUAGUAUUUUCUUUCUCCUUGUAUAAUUGAGAAGUAAUGAAAUGAACAUUCUUAGAUAAAGAAAAGAAGAAGACAAAGAAGAACAUAUAUAUAUGAUCAUACACCAUGCAAUUGACAUGAAAUAAACUUAAGUAAAGCCAAAGUUAUAUAAUACAUACAACAAAACUACUAAAUAUUAGUACAACUUUUAAGAGUAGUAUUGACAAAACCUUUGUGCUCUAUAUAUUGAAAUCUCUGGAUACAAAAGAAAAGAAAAAUGCUUCAAAAGAGUAACUAAUAAACUAAAAUUAUAAAAAUGUAAGAUAAAGUAUAGACAACCUUUGCAUUAAAGAUGCCAUUGCAAUAAACUUGCUUGUCCUUACUAAGAGAGUGUGUGUCAUGGACAUACAUUAGAAGAUUCUUUGAAUAUUCUUCUAGAAUAUUCUCUAAAGAUUCUCUAAAGAUUCCUUUAGAAGGUUCUAGAAGAUUCUUAGAAUAUUCCCUAAAGAUUCUCUUAGAAGGUUCUAGAAUAUUCUGAUAGAUUCUAGGAAGUUGCUCGAGAAGUUUCCUAAUUAAUAGAAGUUGUUGGAGAAGCGUCCUAGUUAGCGGAAGUAGCUCGAGAAGCUUCCUAUUCAGUAGUAUAUAUAGGAGUCGAGGCUGAAGGGUUCUUCAGUCUCGACAACACAUCUCUUGGAGUUCUAGCUCACCUUUCUGGUGUUGUUCUUGUACUCAUCUGUUUAAUCUAGUUCUGCCACUUCUUCUUGAACUUCUUGUUAGAUUUCAAGUCUGUAUUUUGUGUCCGUGACAGUUUGUCGAGACUACAUUUUCACUGGUAUCAGAGCUAGUUCCUUCUUGUUAGAGAGUGGAUUACCCCUCUUCUUGAAGGUGUGCUAGUGUUUUAGAGGUUGCGGAUUACCCUCCUCUAAACUGAUAUCUCUUCUUUCUCAAUAUUGGAGCCUUAUUCUUCUUGGAGAGAGUGGAUUACCUCUCAUCUUGGAGUCUUAAGGCGUUUUAGAGGUUGCGGAGUACUCUCCUCUGAACCAAUAUUGUCCUCUUGUCAAAACUCUUUUUUCUUCUUUCUGAAGGUUAGCCGAAGGUUAAGACGUUAAAAUGGCUAAAAGUUUGGAAUCCAAACUAGACGCCAUCAUAAAUGCUCUUGCCUCGUUGUCACAUAGGACAACAGAGAUCGAAGGAGUCAUGGUAGGACUCCAUAACAAUGGAGCAUCUAGGAUAGCGCCAUCUAAAGCAUAUCAGCCUCAAACUUCUGCGCCAGAAGAAGCAGUUCUACUUCCAUUUCAACAAGAUCGAGUAGUCCUACAACGAAAGGAGCCUCGAGUUAGUCUUCCGGAUAAGUUUGAUGGAACUCGUUCCAAGUUUCGAGGUUUUGUCAACCAAAUCAGGUUGAUAACAAUUUUACAGCCCGAACGUUAUCCGACGGAGGAAGCGCGUGUUGGGCUUGUUGGAACCUUGCUCAUAGCACAAGCUCUGUCUUGGUUUACUCCCUUGUUCGAGAAGCGAUCGCCAAUCCUGAGCAACUUUGAAACGUUCUUGGAGACGUUUGCAGAAGCAUUUGGCGAGCAUGAUAAAGUUCGAUGGGCUACAACAAAGAUCCGAUCGCUACGACAAGGAACACGCUCUACAUCAGUCUAUGCCUCGGAUUUCAGACAAUUGGCAAGUGACAUUAAUUGGGGUGAAGAGGCAUUGGUGAGUCAGUUUUAUUGGGGCUUGAAGGAUGAUGUGAAGGACUUGCUGUUAUCUCUUCUUGAUCCUCAAACGCUCAACGAAGCUAUUAGCCAAGCUGUAAAGUGUGACAACCGCCUAUUCCAGCGUCGCCAAGACCAACGCCCAAGACACCAAAUGACUCGUUACGACGUGACUAUGUCUGCAAAUAGCUUAAAUUCACAUUCGGAGGCAACAGACAUGCAAAUCGACACGGCGCGUGUCCGAUCUCUUAUUCCAACAGAGAAGAAACGGCGUAUGGAGGAAGGGUUAUGUUUGUACUGUGGAGAAGAAGGUCACAAGGUUGGAAAUUGCCCCAAGAAGCAAAAUUGGCACCCUGUCAAGACUAGAAGUGCGAUGAUUCUGGAAAACAACGACGCCCAGCCACAGUAGGAACCGUGCGGCUGGACAAUCUAAUAUCACGACAACAAUCAGGUUCCUCCUUCUCUGUCCAACCUGCCCGUUGUUUUACAAUUCCUUUGUUUUUAGGCCCUCAAAAACAAAAAACUUUAGCUUUAUUGGAUUCGGGGGCAUCUACUUGUUUUUUAGAUGAAGAGUUUGCUAAACGCCACAAGAUCCGUUUAGUACAGAAGUCCAAACAUGUUCACGUAGAGGUGAUAGAUGGACGACCCUUAUUGUCAGGCAACGUUACCCACGAAUCAGAACCUAUAGAAGUGGUGUUUAAGGACCAUAUUAGUCACGUUAUUUUUAAUAUUAUUAGAACCCCAUCAAGCCCUGUUAUCCUUGGUCUUUCUUGGUUAGAAGAUCAUAAUCCGUCCAUUAAUUGGAGGCUACGAAGGAUAACAUUUCCUGAAAAAAAUAAUAAUAAACCUGUUGGUAGAACCUACAUGAAGAAAUCCAUGUUUAUUGGAGCGAGAGCGUUCCUAAGAUCGUCCAAGGAAGGCGCACCAUUUGUCAUUUAUGCAGCUCCAACUAGCGGCGAGAAUAUCUCAACAUCAAAUAUACCAGAGCAAUAUAGGGAUUUUGAAGACGUGUUUCAAAAGAAGAACGCCGAUAUACUGCUGGAACAUUGACCAUAUGAUUGCGCCAUAGACUUAGAGGAAGGAGCGCAACCACCUUUUGGUCCAAUAUACAACCUAUCGCAGACGGAGUUGGCAGAAUUGCGGAAGUACAUCGAUGAGAAUCUAGCCAAGAAUUUUAUUCGAUAUUCAAAGUCGCCAGCUGGAGCACCAAUCCUAUUCGUGAAGAAAAAAGAUGGCUCACUGCGGAUGUGCGUGGACUACCGAGGACUCAACAAGGUGACCAAGAAAAAUCGCUAUCCCUUACCUUUGAUCUCCGGCCUCUUAGAUCAACUUGGACGUGCAAGGAUUUUUACAAAGAUUGAUUUAAGAGGAGCCUACAACCUUGUGCGAAUCAAAGAAGGAGAUGAAUGGAAGACAGCCUUUCGUACAAGGUAUGGCCAUUUUGAGUACAAUGUCAUGCCUUUUGGUCUUACCAAUGCUCCAGCGGUCUUUCAGCAUAUGAUGAACGACAUCUUUCGGGAGUACCUCGAUGACUUUGCUGUCAUCUAUCUAGAUGAUAUUUUGAUAUUUUCCAAGAAUGAAGAAGAACAUGAGAAGCACGUUUGUUUGGUUCUUGAAAAACUACGCGAACGAGGACUCUACGCCAAGUUGGAGAAGUGUCAAUUUCACCAGAAUGAGAUGGAAUUUUUGGGCUUCAUUGCGACUACAGAGGGCUUGAAGAUGGAUCCAAAAAAGGUAGAAGCAAUUAUAUCUUGGGAAGUUCCGAAGACGGUUAGAGAUGUUCAGUGUUUUCUUGGAUUUGCUAACUUCUAUCGGAUCUUCAUCAAGAAUUAUUCUCAAGUUGCUGCACCACUCACGCGUCUAACAAGCAAAGACAAGCUCGAAUGGGGAUCACAAGCAGCAAAAGCAUUUCAAGAUCUCAAGACGGCAUUCACUACGACUCCAAUCUUGGUACACCCUGACUUUGCAAAGGCUUUCUAUUUAGAGACCGAUGCUUCAGAUUUUGCUUUGGGAGCUGUGCUUUCACAGAUGGGCAUAGACAAGAAGCUUCACCCAGUUGCGUUCUAUUCACGGAAGUUCUCUGCUACUGAGAUCAACUACGAGAUCCACGACAAAGAGCUGCUUGCUAUAGAGGAUGCCUUCCAAGAGUGGCGUCACUUCCUCGAAGGAGCUACACAUCCAGUGACUGUUUAUACGGACCACAAGAAUUUGGAGUACUUCAUGACAGCUCAAAUUUUGAAUCGUCGUCAAGCUCGAUGGAAUAUGUCUCUAUCACGAUUUGACUUUAUUAUCACCUACCGCCCUGGAAAAUAGCAAGGAUUAUCUGACGCAUUAUCGAGGAGAUCGUAUCUUGCGCCAAAGGCUGGAGAAGCAGCGUUUGAUCAACAAUGUACAACAUUGUUGAAACCAGAAAAAUUCAAGAUCGUUAUCAUGGCCUACCAGAUGAUAUCGUGUCGGAUCGAGGUACUCAGUUUGUAUCCAAGUUUUGGAGGUCCCUCUUUGAGAUAUUGAAGGUGGAUAUUAAGCUCUCUUCGGCUUUUCAUCCUCAAACUGACGGUCAAACGGAGCGAGUGAAUCAAGUUUUGGAGCAAUAUUUACGAUGCAGCAUCAACUAUCAACAAGAUGAUUGGACUGCAUAUCUACCGCUUGUUGAGUUCGCAUACAACAACACUCUUCAUGCGUCAACUCAACAAACACCAUUCUUCUCCAACUACGGAUACCACCCCAAGCUCGAUUUAUUGAAUUCUUCAGCAAAUAACAACCCAGCAGCUGAAGGAUUUGUGAAGCAACUAUCGGAGCUUCAAGCGACGUUGAAGCUUCAAUUGCAAUCUGCCCAAGAGAGUUACAAGGCAUCUGCAGAUAAAUAUCGAAAUGAGGCGCCUACUUUUAAAGUUGGAAGUAAAGUAUGGCUUCUUCGAAGGAAUAUCAAGACCAAGCGGCCAUGUGACAAAUUGGACUAUCGGAGAUUAGGGCCAUUUGUUAUCGAGAAGCAGAUCAAUCCGGUGGCAUAUCGUCUGGAGUUACCAGCUACUAUGAAGGUACAUCCAGUCUUUCAUGUGUCUUUGUUGGAACCUUAUCGAGAGUCAGCUUUUCCCCAAAGAGUACAAAGUCCGCCACCAAGUAUCGAAAUUGAAAACCAUGAGGAAUACGAGGUGGAAAAGGUACUAGAUUCACGGCGUAAUAGGAGAAAAUUGGAGUAUUUAGUGCAUUGGAGUGGAUACGACAUCAAUGAACGAACGUGGGAGCGUGCCAAAAAUCUUGCCAAUGCACCAAAAAAGGUACAAGAAUUUCAUCAACGAUAUCCUCAUAAACCUAAGCCGAUUCAACGAUAGCUUCUUGCUGAAGCUUGCUCAUCAAGUAGCAUAAAAAGGGGGGAGGGCACCUCCAAAACCCAUAGUUCGAUAGUGUAGAACUUUGUUAGCAACUAUAGUUUGCUCUCAUCAUUUUAGCCUUUGGACAUGGAUAGUCAAGAUACUACACUUGUUAUGUCAUCUCAAGCGACUAGCUCACGAAGACGACCGCGAGAUGAAGAACCGCCUGCACCACGACGACGUCGGAGGAUACUGAGCAACAGAUCGCUAGUAAUUGUAUUUGAGGUCGAGCCUGCCUACGACGGUCAGCCAGAAGGUGUGUUUGGAGGACAGUUUCACAAUGAAGACACAGAAGUCCACGCUUGGUCAGAGGUUGAAGGUAUUGGUCACUAUCGUUGGCUCCAAGGGCCGAUGAAUCAUUUGCCUCGCGAACAACAAUUGGAAUUCAUAGCGGAUGUGAUGCGACAGAUUUUCAUUUUCUUGCGUUGGUAUUGACUGAUAACAACAUUGCUUCUCGGAGACCACGAAGUUAGAAGAGGAGGUGAUGUCAUGGACAUACAUUGGAAGAUUCUUCGAAUAUUCUUCUAGAAUAUUCUCUAAAGAUUCUCUAAAGAUUCCUUUAGAAGGUUCUAGAAGAUUCUUAGAAUAUUCCCUAAAGAUUCUCUUAGAAGGUUCUAGAAUAUUCUGAUAGAUUCUAGGAAGUUGCUCGAGAAGUUUCCUAAUUAAUAGAAGUUGUUGGAGAAGCGUCCUAGUUAGCGGAAGUAGCUCGAGAAGCUUCCUAUUCAGUAGUAUAUAUAGGAGUCGAGGCUGAAGGGUUCUUCAGUCUCGACAACACAUCUCUUGGAGUUCUAGCUCACCUUUCUGGUGUUGUUCUUGUACUCAUCUGUUUAAUCUAGUUCUGCCACUUCUUCUUGAACUUCUUGUUAGAUUUCAAGUCUGUAUUUUGUGUCCGUGACAGUAUGCUUAUCAAUUGACCAUUUCAUGCCAAAAAAUCUUUGGCUCAUUCUUGUUUAAAAAAAUAUUUGAGAAUUGCAAAUAUAUGUAACAACCAUUGAGCUUUUCUCUUAUCAAUGUAUAAAUUUGUUGGUAGACAUUGUGAUCAUUUUCAAUAACAUAACUAUCUUUGAUAAAUUACUACCAAUUUUAAUUAGAUGAUAAAGUGCAACCUCAUAAAAAUUAAAAACUUUAUCAACCUGAAAAGAAUUUGGAACUCAUAUUUCAACAAGAAAAUUUCAAUGAACAAGUAAGUAGCAGUACCAAGAACAAAACUAUAAUUGAUUCUUUAUUUGGUUCUUAUUCUUUGAAAGUAAGUUGUACAUUAUAGUGAAUAUAAUUGAAUGUAUAGAUAGCAAAAGGAUAUUUUCUAUCUAUUAUUUCUAUAAUAGAAAAUAAAUAUUAAAUAAAAUAUUAAAUAAUAAUUACAAAGUAGUUUGAUUUAAGUAGGUGAUUUCUUUUAAAUACACCAUUUUAUUUGUAAAUACCUAUUUGAUAAUUAUAAUAGAAUUUUUUUCAUUUUAAAAAUUAAAAAUAUUAUCAAUUGUUCCUAGUAUAUAUUGUUCAAUGUUAGAAAAUCUUUGUAUUAUGAAUUUACUUAUAUAAUAAAAUAAAAAAGAUACCAAAAAGAAAGUUGACAAAAUAAAAUAUGAAAAAAAGACUCUUGAAUUUGGAAGAAUAGGUUUUUACUUAGAACAUUUUCAUUACCAAAGAAAAAAAAUCUAAUACAUUUAAAGUCUAAAUUAAAAAUUAAAAAUUUUAGGGACUCCAUCCUUAGAAAUUCUUGUAAAAAGUGUUGAUCUUUAAUCUUGCUUGCUAAUCAAUUAGUAAGGUUGUUGUAGGAGGCAUUUAUUGCAAGUAUGAAUUAGGCCACAUACAAUAAUACUUUAUGCAUCAUAAACCUAAUCAAUUGAUUGCAGCAUGAGCUCUACAAAAAAUAGAUUUAGAAUUGGUUUUUUUUUUCACCUUAAAUACAUGAUUCUAUGUGCAAGAAUGAUGAGAAAUGUAUAAGAAUUAAUUGAAACUCAAGAAAUGGACAAGAAUCUAUAAAAUUGUAAGAGGAAUCUAUGGAAACUUGAAGAACUCAUGGAAUUUAUAAGAACCAAUGGAAAUUCAUAGAAUGCAAAAAGAACGUAUGAAAAUCUUUAAGAAUUUAAGAAACACAUAAGAAUUCACAAGAAUCCAUAGAAACUUGAAAAAAUCACAAGAACACAUAGAAACUUAGGAAUACAUAAAAAUUCAUAAGAAUACAAGAAUAUUUUUUUGUACUGAAUGGCACAAGUUUCUAUUAUGUAUCUAUUUCACAAUGCACUUUUUCAAAUAUAAUCAAAAUCCUAUAUCUUAAGAAUAAAAAAGAAAAAAAAAUACAAUAAAAUUAAUUUAUUUCAAAGUUCUUUUGAUUUAUUUAUUUAAAUAAUUGUAGUAAAUAAAAAUUAUAUUUUUUUAAUUACAUUGAAGAAACAUAAAUAAUUACAUUUUUAUGAAUAUAUUAUUUUUAUUAUUUAUAUAUAAAUAUAUAUAUUUAUUCAAAUAUUUUUUUAUAAAAAAUCUUUAAGAGUGAUCAAUUUUUAACUUUGCAACCAAAAAUUAAACUUUUACAGCUUUUUUGUGGCCAAUUGCAUGGAUUUCCACUAAUUACUAAUUAAAUCACAAAAUAAACUUAUAUGAACAUAGACUUAAAAAUAUGAAAAUAAAUAAAUAAAUAAACAUCGUAACAGAUUAAUAUUGGCAAGUAGAGUUUCUUUGAAUGAUAUAAGAAAAACUGGGAAGCUUCAAGAUGUGCAUUUAUCGACGAAAAGAAAAUCGUCAACGAUCUUUCGUUCGUUCGUCUGUUAAAGCUAUUAGAGGCAUAAACCAUUCUCGUCAAUUCCGACCAGUCCCAUAUGAGCCCUAUUCAAACGGCAUUCUCAGCUAUCCCUGUCGCUACCAUCCAGUGCAACUCAUCAUUACAUGGUUGUUGGAACCACAUCCCUUUUCACACCUCCGCCAAAUUUCAAAUCCUCCGAUAAGGAAAGGUUGCUUUGCUAAUUCCCCUCAAAAACACUCGCCGCCCACCAGAGCAUUGAGAUUUGGCUCCCGCUCUUAUUCUUGAAUUCUGUCAUCGCGGCACCUUAAUUUAGCCUUCUAGAAUUUUCCUACUUUGAUGUGGUUUAUUUUGAGGAUGGUUUGAAGACUAUUUCCGGCACCAUUGGUUCCUUAAUUCGCCGAAAUAGUGGUUUACUUUGGGCUUAGUCUACCGUGUGGACUGAUGUCCAACUCUGUGAAGGGGGAGAGGCUGCAGAGUUUUGAAUUUGAAAUGUUGCAGGCUGUAUAGAGUGCUGAGGUGUUUGUGGUGGUGGAAUUAGCUCUUGUGAGUAGAGCAGAUUGAGAUUCUACGGGGGAGAGACGUGCUGGAUGAGAGGUUGGUACGCGAGGAAUGGCUAGAGGUUUGAUGAAGAAUUUUUGUCAUGUGUGAAUAUUCUUAAUGGGAUUUGUCGAAUUCUGUCCUAAGGUCGCCUUCAAAGUGGGCGAGGAGAGGAACACCGCAAGGGAGAGGUCGAUUUUGCGAGCUCGGAUGACUGAGAAGUGAGCGGAACUAUGUUUAUCUACCAGGUACAUCUUCCAUCGGCUUUCCACGAUGAGUGUUGUGGUGCUGCUCCAUUUUCUUUGAGCUGGACAUCACUUAAUUUGUGGAGUGCAAUCUUGUUCUGGUCUGUCGUUGAGUAAACUAAUGUAAUCUCAAGUGGGUAAGAACGUGACAAUGAGAUGUUUUGCUUAGUUGUUCCUUCAGUUUCUUGUCAGUUUCUUGUCAUUCGUCCUGCUGAUCUUUAGGUGGGGGGGGGGGGAUUUGUGUUUUGAUCAUUUACGAAGCCCUCACGAUGCAAUGUGAGCUUCGUAGAGCAUUUUAGAACAUCAGUAGUAUUGAAUGUUCGUUGGUUAUCCAAACAAAAUGUGUCGUUUACAUGCCUGAAUAGUCUGAUACACACAGACGACCAAGCUUGUACAACAGUUGUCAAUGGCGCGGAAGGGAUGAAUCCUUUAAGAAAAGAUGGACUAGGCAACAACUAUCAAGUUGCUCGAGCUUCGUCAAAGAAAAUCAAGAUCUGAAUUAUGUAAUCCGCACUAAUGUGGCCCUCUGCGUGCAACAGGAUAUCUACCAGUGUGGUGCCACUCCGGUGUUAUCUUGGUUCUUGUGGUUUUGAUUUGGGUGGGCCUCCAACAUGAUUAACUGCAUGGUAAGUCGCCGACUUGGCCCUGGGCGUGCCGGACUAGCACCCCGGCUCGUAAUCCCAGAGACACAAAUUUCUAUUUCCCCAGAAUUCCAGGGUUAUUACCCCGACGACAAUGUACUCUAUAACCGAAGAUUGUCGUCGAUACACGGAUACGGAGGAGAUGGAGCAUUUUCACAGAAAUCGGGAAUGUUUUCUCUUCAAGGAUUUACCGUUGAUGGACGGCCUACCAUACUCGACGGCGGAGAAGAUAUAAACGAAAUCAUGGAGCCAACGCCAAGACCGGGCCGAGGCGAAAAAAUGUUGAGUAAGCAUUUUAUUGCUCCAAGUGCAAGGUGCAACAGGCGAGCUUCACUUCACGGAUGCGAUUUCCAUUUCACUCAAGGAACCUCUGCUCUAGAGUCAGGUUAUUUUCCAUCUCAUUGUCGUUGCAUUCAUUUAGAUUUAGAACCCUCUAUUGUAGCGUUUCCCAUGACAGGGUAUGUUACACUACUCGUUCAAGAUCUUGAAUCUGAAGAGUUAAUGUUUUAUAACUAUUGGUUUGCAAGUAAUGUCUAAUACCUUCUUACUAUUUUCGUUGCAGACUCAGUAUUGCAUCCGAAAGAGGUACUCUACCUACAGAAAAUUGCAUUGGCAAGUAAUGAGGAAGCUCGCAGGAAGGACCUUUCCAAUGGGAUGGCGCAUAUUUCUCUGGACGGGCGUAUAACUAACGCCGUUUCUGCAACUUCCUCCGCCACCAUAGGAGGGGAUUUGGGAGAGGAGGAGGCCCAAGCUUGGGAUUGUUUUGCACCUUUGCAACGGGUGUUAAUUGUGGCUGUAGCUGCUGCAGCUGCCGCAUCUAGUAAACACAAAAACCACAAAGAAAUCAAUCGCCUGCAAAAAGAAGUGCAUGCACAGGUGAGCUCAACUUGGUAGUUCUUCUUGUGGUUUGAUCCAUUCUGACGAAUCCUGCAUUGUGUUAUUCGAGCAUCAGUGGCUUUCAAGCGUUCCCAAAAUGUGAUGCUGAUCUUUCCAGUUUUUGCCUCCAUGACGUUUUUUUUUUGAAGAUACUUACUAGCGAUGGAAAGAUAUCAUAAAUUGAUUACUGAAUCGUGCACAGGAGAACGCCCUGUCGCUCAUGAGACGAGAACUUAGCAACCUGUGGGAUCAAGUUGCCGCAGAAGAAAACGGCCCCCUCUCUUUUAGGUCUCCUAGUAUAGAACAUAUUGAUCAGAAAUCAAGGGCAUCAAGUCCAGCCAUGCCGCUGAAGGGGAGGCAAGCAUCGAACUCCGAGGAACCAAGUAUAGAAACACCGAAAACAUACCAGAGACCCAAAUGUGAAUUAUCUGAUGGUCUAAUAAACUACGAUCAAUUUAAAGAUGGCCCCGUCAGCCAAGAUGUCUACAUUGUAGAGUAUCCCAAAGCUGUGGUCGAAGAAGUCCAAUUAGGAGAGGCUGAGUCGUUCAGUAAUCAACUGACAGAAAACACUUCACGGAGCCGAGAUGAUGAUGAAAGCGAGCAUUACUUUGAGGAUUGCACACCUGAGAAACGACAGAGAAUAUUCUCCAGAUUUGCAUUAGAUGCGAAGGAGCCUGCAGAGUGGACGCCUGUGAAGUCCUCCUUCACGACAUUAAGUGCUGGCGGCAUCACUCCACUAACCAACAAGAAGAGAUCUUCUUUCGAGGCACAUUUCUUUUCCCAACGUGCUCUAGUUUGAUGUAGAUAUGGAUCCCACCUUUUGGAAAUUAACGCACCUGAUUAUAUAAUUUCAACGUACUGGUUUCACUUCCAACUUUGCACAUUGUGCUGAUGUAAUUCUCAUAUGACUAAGACACAAACUUUCCAGUCCUCAAUGUCUAACUGAAGCUGUGUUUUUUGCUUUUGGUCUUCAUUUUAGCAGAGUUCGAUUGCCUAUUCUAAAGGUUCGGAGCAAUGCUCAGAUUUGGAGGAGUUGAAGGCACGACGUGCUACUAUGCUCCUCGAAGUGAAGGUGAGUAUUAUGGCAAUUUUUGAUUGCCUCAGUCUUUCUGGAAUUGAACCCUGUGUGAGCUUAUCUUGGUGGAACCGAUCACGCAGUUCUUAAGUAUGCUCUCAUCGGUAGUUAUGAUUGGUAAUGAUUCAGUGUGGUAUGUAGUCGAGACCCGCUAUGCAUAAUCUCCUUUCUAAAUCCGCAAGAAUUAAUGUGAAUGCAGAACCAGGUGUCGUCAGUUCUGGAUAAAGAGGCCUCGCAUGUCAUGGCUGCCCUCUCUCACGUCAUUGAGAAGGUGAUGUGUUCCCAUUGCUGGACUAUUCCUCGUAGGAUCCAGGAGAUAUUCCACCUGUAAGAUUUUUCACCGGAGCUAUUCCAUCUCACCAAGAGAAAUGCGUACUAAUAGUCGGUGGUUUUGCAGGCUCAAAAGUUAGAGAAAGCCGACAGAACAAACUCAUUGACACGACGUGCAAAUACACCCGAGAAGAAAGCCCGAGGUAUUUGUUCUUGCCAGAUUGUCAGGUUUGACUAGAGUUUUCCAUAAUAAGCAUGGAGAGCGGACAACUACAUUUUAUGAUCCCAGGCUAUCAUGUAAUCAUUUAGACCCGCGUAAGCAUUGUUUCAAUCUGUCAUAAGAAUUAGGAUCGGUUACUUGUAAACAGGAGCGAAACUCACAUAUUUGGGUAUUUUUUUUGUGGCAGCUUCGACUGCUUUGAAGCAGAGUGUAGAAAAAGCAAGCGCACAGGUUGCGUCACUUCAGUCAGCUGUGGUAAACAUCUGGCAUACUAUCGGACCAGAUACACUGGCGUCCCUCAAUCCGUCACCGCUGGAGCUUGAGAGCUUUCUACUUCAAGUGACGAAGGUUAAUUCAACAAACCAUUUACAGUAAAUUUUAAUUAGAUUCUGUAUUUUCUUCGAAAAUGACUAAUGAACAGUAUCUUAUUGUAUUUUAUCCACAUUUUGUCAUCUCUUUGGAAAAGAAGUCCUCAGUUUGGACCUUUAGUGAUGAAGGUUCCAACUGAGUGUGUUCUCUGUUGGUAUUGCUGACAAUAAAAGAUGCAUUGAAUUUUCGGAGCAUUUUCAGGACACUCUCAUGAACAAGGAACAAAAACUUGUGCCCACUAGUGAGGAAGGAAUACAGGAAUGGAAGCAAUCGUUACAGCUCAAGCAACUUGAAACAGCCUUGCCCUCGCCGCUGAGCAAGACUGGAACUGCAGCAAUCAUAUCCUCUGAAGUCGAAAAUCAGGUGGUAUGCUCUCCUAGCUGGAGAAAUAAAGGCAUUGAAAUAGCUUCAGCAAUAAGGGUUGCAGUUCGAAAGACUGUGGAUUCAUUGAUGGCUCCCUUGGAUGGAAGGAAAGCUGCAGAGAACUUUGAUAGUCCAGAGGCAAGAAAACGGGUGUCUUCUCUCUCAGAAGAUGCACCUCAAUUUCUUGCUCAACAGCUACUAGGAGAGCUCGAGAAGGCCGCUGCCAAGGUAGCCCUAAAUGCAGAUGGAUGUAGAAGUUACAUUUUCUAUCUUUGUUUCCACAGUAGAAACAGCCAUGCCUUUUUAACAAUGUGGUGCCUGUCGCCACGUAUGUAAAACUAGUUGUUUUCGAUUGUUUUCGAAUUAAUGCUCCAUGCACACGUCCCAAUAUCUCAAGCUACAAAUGUCAUGGCGUUUGAGGAUUAGGCAGUUAAGAUUUGCAUCUUUUUGACAUCGCUCAUCAACGGUGCAUUUGAUUCUCUAAUCAUUGUGAAUUCGGUUGGUAUUGCGCUUCUACCAACCUCAGAUUUCAGGAAUGGAAUGCCAGAUGCUCAGUUUGAAACGAAGUGUGCGAGAGACUGACGCUAAACGAAAGAAAGCUGAGAUUAAGCUUGCGGAGGCAAUAGCUCGUGACCACCAAAACCAGGUGAGACAAAAAACGACGACAACUGUGAUUUUUUGCACCUGUUUCGCAGAGGGCAUGUGAUCCUAUACUUUCUUCCUAUUCGUUAUGUAAUUAUUGAGGUAGCAACAUCACGUAAAUUUCCACGAUCUCAGGAAAAAUUCGAAAGGGAAAUGAGUGAGCUUACAGCGAAGCUUCGGGAGAAGGAGUCCGCCUACGACGAGUUAAUGCGGAGCCGUAAGGUAAUAUUCCAGGGUGAAGACGUGCACAUGGUUUGAACCAAAUUUACUUUGCAUAGUGCAGCAAAAGGAACUGUUCUUUAACAUGAAAUGAAUCAGCUCUGCCAGAAGUAGCGAGAAUUUCUGUCAUGCUUAGAGUGUCGUCAGUGUCAUGAGGCAUUCUUACUCAGAUGAUGUUGGGAAAUGGUUAAUUUUUUUUGGAAAUGGCUUCAUGAUAGAAAUUUGGAGCUGCUGAUGCUCAAUAUUCAUUGACUUGAUUGAGCAUCAGGUUUUCACCUACUGAUAUGAUAUUAAUCUCUGGUUUGAGAUGAACAGGUUAUGUAUUUAGUGAAAUCGAAGGAGAUUGAUGAGCUUAAAAAAGACUGCCAGAUGCGUGAUGCUGCCCUUGACGGUAUCACUGCUGCCGCUCAAGCAACUCGAGAAGCAAGUGAUCAGGUAAUACAUAAAUUUGCUGACUGCGUUUUGUUUCUAAGUAAGACCAUACACGUGAACACGUCCGCUAGCAGAUACAAAACUUCUUUUCCCUUCCUCAAUUCUGACGCCUCAUAAUUCUACAACUUGAUUUGAAAGAUUGAAAAGAUGGCUUGAUUUUGUGGACAAUUGUGCAGAGAUUGGCAGUUUUGGAGGACAUAUGCAGACGCAAGGAUUCUGCAAUUCAGGAGCUCAAGGAGGAAAUUAUUGCCCUAGAGGACAAGGUAAUAUGCAGUUUACUAGCCCACUGAUCUACUUUUCCCUGACAAAUAUCUCGAUAUCACGUCUACUUGAAAGGCCGGCCUAUGAAUAGUUCAUCAUGUUAUGAGCGUUCAUCACUGCUCGAAAAUGCUUCAUCUAUUUUUAGAUCGCUAGAAUAAAUUUAAGUCGUUUCCUUGUCAUGAUUGCCUGUUUUGAGGAUGGUCAUUGAAGGCUCUCCCUUUCAUUUUCUACAGGUCCAUGAGCUCGAGCUCCGUUCCCCUCUCUUGCUUAGCCGUAAUCACAGACGCAAUAUCUCCUUACUCCGGUCUCCUACCAAGGAAGUUCUAGCACUUGAAAACACGUUCAACGGAAUCUCUCAUGAAAGAGAGCAAAUGCAGAUUUCUUCCCUUUCACGCGGAAAGACUGAAGAUUUCCAAUCCAGCAUAGAUGAUACUUUUGGCCAUCCGCAAUCAUCUCUCAAUUACACGAGUCGAAAUACUAUGGACUUUUGUGCUGAAGUCCACGGAGACCAAGCAGAGAAUCGCCGCGUCAUUGUCCCUCUGGGCAAUGAAUCGGCUGUCUCGUGCACCAUGGCUGAAAGUUUUACUCAUCUGAGAGAGACAUCUUCGGUACAUAGCAGAGUGCAGGAGUGUUCAUCUUCAAGCGUACUUUCGACUCUCUCCAUCGACGGAAGUAUGUUUCCUUCCCCUACCUGCACGUUGUUCGACGACUUCUUGGAGGUAGAGAGCUCCCUGCAAGCAUUUGCAGCGAAAGAAGGGUGCCGUCUUGAUGACUUCGGAACACGUAACAACACGGGCAGUCUUUGCCCCUCGCAAGAGUAUUUCUCUGCUGAAGGCAAUCUUAACUCAGGGCUUAAGCAGCUCAACAAUACCACAGCAAGUAAGUGUCGAUGUUAUCCAAUCAUUCGUUGAUUUCUUUUCUGGAUUAUUUAUCGUCGAUACCAGUAAGCUUUUGAGCCUUUGAUUAAGCUAUUUUUUCCAUAUAUAAUUGUCCACAGUUUCGUUACCAGCCAGAAGCUUACAUUUUGAGAAAGCAGUGGAGAAUUCCCGCAAUAAUUUUUCACAACGAAUAUAGGAUAAAUAUCUGUAGCUGUGGAACUUUGGAAAUUGUAUUCCUAAAUUGUGGGUAUUCUUUUUUCAUUAGGCACUGGUACUGAGUCUGCUGGAAGCAACACGAAACUUGCUAAGUCACGACGAGCGAAAGGCCACUUUUCUCUGACGUCUGCAGGCGAGCACAAGAAAUCUAGCGGAGUCUUGCGACCAACUAAAGCCAGUUCUCUCAAAGUUCAGGGUAAGAUCAAAGCGAACAAGGAGAAGGAGAAUUUUGUUCCGCAGCAGGACGAAGAAAUCAAUUGGGUAAAUGUAGCUUCAUUUGAAUUCGGUAGUUCUGUUAAAGGCUCUGCCGCCUCUCGUCGAGCAUCGAAUACAUCUAUUGAAUACAAGGAAAGCAUUGUGAAACCAGCAUCGAAGGAGAACAGAAGUAUAACGAGAAGUACAAGAUGGCAUUGAAGACCUCAAAGUCAUCACUUGAUGUGUGUGACGAUUGUGGCGGCUUAUGUUCAUGUACCAUAUAAUGGCGCUUUAUUAUCUUUAUGAAUCCGUGUAUAUAGAAUAGCUCCUAAUUCUCCCUCCUAUAGCACAUGCAGCCGCAACAAACCUGUACAUCUCAGCGCCAAAAAUUUUGAGAGGACUUGGAUUGCUAUGAGGCAUCACAAUUUUGAGGUUCAUAUUCAAAUUGAAUUCUGAAAAAAACGCAAGCAUUUAAUGCCGUUUCAAGAGGACGACUAACUUGCUAUUUACGUUCAACAGGUUGUAACUUUUACUGGCUACUCACUCAAUAGUUAAAAGGGAGUUUUCACGUCCAGCUGUUGCGUUACUGGAUUCUACUCUUUAUUCAGGGGCCGAUCGCUGUAUGAACUUUGUAUGAACUAUUAUUUUUCCGAGGCUUACACUCGCACUUACAUUUCGGUCCAUUGCAGUUUAGAAUGCUGGAUUCGCUCCAUCAUUAUACAUUGCCAAGUGUUAAUCUUUCGUCUAAUAGCUCUAGAGCUGGUGAAGCUGUUGCUGGAGCUAUGUACUUAUUAUUAUUAAUGCGACACUGUUGUGGGUAUUCUCACUCAACUCUGCAUUACAGUCCAAAAUUUUCUCCAGGAAGUUGUGUUCAAAGAGCUUGUUAGUUUUCACUACACUAUUGGGCUAAUAUACACUCUUUUUUUGGCAAGGCAGCAAACGUCGAAUUCCUCCUUGCUGCCAUCAGUUGUUGAAAGCUUCAAAGUCUGAUGAAAAAAACAAGUCAUUCCUUAUCACAAGGAAUUCCAGUCCCAAUAUAUAAUUAUAAAAAACACCAGUUAUGGACUGUCACAUGGAAUUGCAGUCUCAAGUUGUGAUAAGCUUGAUGCAUGGCUUUGUAAGCUCCUCUAUUUCAACAUACGCUUACACAUGGUAUGUCUUGGAGUUUCGUGGUUUUUUUCUAAGUUAUCAGUGUCUGCUAUAAUCUAACGCUGGUUCUGCUGAUCUUUCAUGAUUUGUGUGAUUGAUGGACUUGGAGAAAAUGCUCGCAAGUUGGGUAGAAAUACUAUUUGGUAGUUGUAUGAAGUUUUGCACUGAAUACUAUUUUCAAUGAUUAUAUUAUUUCUAGAAUUUGGAAAUUUUGUUAUGUGAGAUUUUUCAUACUAUAUAAUAAAAGAAAUACUAUGGUUAAAUUUUCCUUUAGUUUUAUUUCUUACAUCUUCUUAUAUAAAAUAAAAAUAUUCAUUAAGACUCAAUUUGAUGAAUUAGAAUAUAUAUAUAUAUAUAUAUAUAUAUAUGCUUUUAGACCCAAAAAUAUAACUUUAAAUACUUAUUUAUUCGAGAAGUGUUUAUACUUUUCUAAUGCACCUAAAACUUGACAAUAAUUUUUUGGAAAAAGUUUUUUAAUUUUAUAUUAAAAGAUUCAUAUUACUAAAAACUAUUUUUAAGUUAUUCAAAUAAUAAAUUUUCUAAUUCCAAAUUAAUCAUACUUAUGAUUUUUUUUAAAACUUGUAAAAUAUAAAUUUUACAUUAAUUUAUAAGAAAAUAAUCCAAAUAAAAAUGUUAUCAAAUUUGUUUUAGAAAUCAUAACAAUAAAUUUUGACUAAAUAAGAGAACACAUUAUAAAUAAAUUGUAUAUUUAGUUAAAAAUACCAACUCAAAUUUUUAAAUUCUCUUUUGAAUUUAACUAUAUAUUUUAUUGAUUUCACUCAUAAUUGCUAUUAGUGCUUUAAAAGGGGAUGUUGCAAUUUUUCCAUUGAGCUAUAUUAAGAAUUUAAGAUCUAUCAGGCAAUUCUUUUUCUGUUUAUAAAUAUUUACUAUCAAACUAUAUGAGAAAUUAUAGCCACCAAGUAUGCUUCUAAUUCCUUUUGUAGAUGACCUAGUAGUGUUUAAAAUUAUAUAUAUUUAUGAAUCUAACAUAAGUUUUAAGAAUAGUCCUCUAUUUGAAAACAUAUUAUCUUUAUUAGAUUUAGGCAUGAUAAACUAUUUAGUAUUUAAGAAAACUAUAUUGUAACAAGUCUCACAAUUUGAAUACAAUAUUGUGAAGAUUAUUUUUUAUGAAAAUUUAAAUAUCAAUCCAUUUUCUUUAAAAAAAUUAAUAUAUUAUUUUCUUACAUAAAUAAUCAAUUUAAAAUUUAAUUUCAAUUAAAAAUAUAAUUUUGUAUUAGAUUAAGAUUAUAUUAGAUAAAAACCUGCAUAUCAAUUUUUUGGAUUAUACUGCUACUGCAAACUAUUUUCAUGUAAGUGCUACAAUAGCUUCAUUUAGGUCCCUACUUUAAUUUUUCUCUCCAAUGUUUUUUUACAAUAUACAAUCUAAAUAAUUUUGGUUUUAAAUGCAGAUUGAUUACUACUCUAUUAAAAAUUAUAUAUCAUAGCUCUAAAUUUUACUAUGACUUUUAAUGAGCUAAGUUAUUUUAAAUUAAUAAUAUUUUUUUGAUAAUAAAAUUAAAUUCUAAAAAAAAUUAUUUCUAUUUAUAGUUUCAUACUUUUUUGUUGCACAUAGUCUUAUUAAAACACUAGUAAUUAAUCUAUAUUUUGGACUUAGACCAAAUAAAAUAUCAAGAAAAUCACUUAUUAAAUUUUCUAUUUUUAGAUUUUAUAUAUAAAUUAAUAAUUCAAUAUUAGAUUUCUACUUGCUUAUAAAUUACAUUAAAAUCUUAGCUCAAUUCAUAUUUAAAAUUUUAAAAUAAAUUAAAUACAUAAAGGAUUUCAAUCAUAUUGUUAAUUUUUAUUUCUUUUAUUUUUUGGCAUUAAGUUCUAAAUUUAUUGGCUCAAUAUUUGUAAGUAUUUAUUGGCCAAAAAUAAAAAUUAUUUAACUCUUAUUUUAUUUUUCUUUCUAAAAUUAUAUAUUUAUUACCUUUCUUAUAAAAAAAUUUAAAAAAUAUUGAAAGAUAAAUAUGCUUUAUUUUACAUCUAGUAGGGAAUCUAAGCAUUAAGUUUUUCUUAACACAAGCUAUUACUUCUACCUUCUCAUACUAAAGUUUCAAUAUAUAUAUAUAUAUAUAUAUAUAUAUAUAUUACAACUUCUCUGUUAGAAAUCUAUUUUAAUAAAUGAAAGCUAUUUUUAUCACUCUUGGCCUAUUUAAAAAUCUCUUAAGAUGCUAAAAACUACUUUUUAUAAAUCUUAAAAAAUUAAUAUGCUUUGAUAUUACUUAUUAUCUUUAUUUAGAAUUAUUUAUAUUAUUAUUUUAAUUACUUUUGGACACAAUUUUGUAGCUUUUUUUUUUUUUUUUUUUUUUAAUCUACCUAACAACAAAUGAUUAUUUUUUUAUUGCCUUUUUUUCGUUCAAAAUAACUUUUUUAAGAAAAAAAAAUGAUGCUUACUAAACUAAGAUAAUCUUUUUUUACCACAUUAUCAUUUUUUAUAAGAUUUUUUUUUCUUUCUAUAUGGAUCAAGAGUUUUUUUAGUAUAUUAUAUUUUAUUGAUUGAGUCGACUAUAUUAUAUAUAUCAUCUUUUAACAAUGACUUAAUGUAUAAAUAUAUACACAACCAUCUAAUCUAUCACAAACUUAGAAAUUUAAAACAAUAGAUAUUUUUUAAAUUAUUUUAAAGAAUAUUAUAUAGCAAUUUUUUCUAUUUGAUCUACAUCUAAUUUUGAAAUUUAACUUUUUUUUCUUCUUGGUACCACUCUUUGAGUUGUAUAGGUCUAAGUUGAAAGGUUUUUAAUCAUUUUGGACUGCAUAAUAUUAAAGAUCACUUGUAAUUAUAUUUAAAAAAAUCCUUAGUAUCCCUUUUAUACCUUUUUAAUCUAAAAUCAUGAAAUUUUUUUUUUAUCCUUGCAAUAUGUUUUGUAAAAUUCUCUAAAUCUCCUUAAAUUUUUUUAAAUUAAUUUAAAACUUUAAUUUAAUUUUAAUUAAUUCAAAUUUUAUUUAAAUGUUUGUAAACUAUAUGGUUUUUAAUAUAAGAGAAAUUAUAUAGAUAUAUAGAUAUAUAUAUAUAUAUAUAUAUAUAUAUAUAUAUAUAUAAGUAUUUUUAUGUAUAUUAAAUGAUUGAAUUGUAAAUCGUAUUAAAAUAUUUUUAAUAAAUGCAACAUUUCUAAAUAUUUAGGAGUUGAUUAUAUAUAUAUAUAUAUAUAUAUAUAUAUAUAUAUAUAUAUGUGUAAAAGUAACCAAGUCUGGUUAAUAUCCAUAUUUCUUUUCACAUAUUUUCUAAUAACCAGGUUUUGGUGUUUCUAAAACAAUGUUUUAUAGAAUGAAAUCUUUAUUUAAAAAGUAUUUAAAACUCUUUUUAUCUCUUGUAAAAAUUAGGAUAUUUUUUAUUAUGUCUUUUUAGCAUAUUAAAAAUAUUAAAAAAUAUUUUUUAAAAGGAUUAUUUUAAAAAAAUGAAAAACUAACCAUGCUUGUAAUAAUAAUUAAAUGUAUAUACUACAACCACUAUCAAUUUGUUUCCAAGAAUUUUGUUGAACGUGGGAAAUUAAUUUUUAUUUGUUUAAUAGAAAGCCCAUAUUAUACACAAAGUGCUUGAUAUGCUAAUUCUUUUAUAUUUUUUUUUCUUAUUUGAUUUAUUACUAAAAUUUUAAAUUUAUCAAUGAUCAAUAAUUGUGUACUUAAUUUGAACUGAAACUGAAUUUUAUUUUUUACUUUUUAAUUAUAAUUUUUGUAACUUAAUUUGUGUGUUUUUACAUCACAUUCAGUCCUUCAUGAUGAAAAUGUACAUAUGGAAGUUGUAAUUUUUUUUUAUUAAAGUAUUUCGAUUUUUAUGGUUUAUUUUAAUUAAUAUAUUUAGUGAAACGAUUUUUUUAUUUUAUUAUUGAAAUUUUAUAUUUAGUAGUAUUUAUAAAAAAAAUAUAAAUAUUAAAUUACAUAAUUUUUUACUAAUUAAGUAGAGUAUGAUUAACAGUAGUUUUUGUUUUAGAAAACAACCAACUUGUAAUUUUUAUUGCAUGUGUUUAUAACAUAUCCAUUAUUAAUUAUUUAUAAAAAAAUUGUAUUUAUUUAUCUGAUAAAACAACCAUGCCCUCAGAUACUUGUAUCUUCUGUACUUAACAUUCUUAAUUUUUUAAAUUUUUAAAUUUUUUUUCAAAAAAAUUAAAAAUAUAAAACUCUUAAUAUUCUAUGAAGUUUGAAUAAAACGUAUUGAAAAAUGUGCAUAUUCUCAAGUCCUUACUACUAUAUUUACGUCGAUAUUUCAGCUUGGAAAAACAACUUGGUAUACCCACUAUACAAGUCAUAUUUUAUUAUGAUUCAAACGACAAAGUUUAACAUUUUUUAAAAUUUUAUUUUUUAUGUUUAAAUUUUAAAUUUUAAAAUCAAUAAAUUUUAAUUUAUAUGUAAGUAACAAGCAUAACUUGUGAGCAUAGUGGCACAACUUGUACAACUGCCAUGGUACUAUUACAGUUGCCAAGGCUUGCUUGAUGCAGAGGCAAACCCUCCUUUUGCAACCCUAGUUUGAGGCUUCAGGCCUAUUUCGUUCAUACUGGGCGACAAGAAACUAUAGUUUAUUGGAAUGAAAUCAGCACGUAAAUUUGUAGCAAUCUGAAUCCUGGAAACCCCCACCCAAUUGACAGAGGAAAUAUCACACAAAUGGCUCCAGUUCUUUGUACUUGCAAUAUGACCCAGUUCGUGUACAUCAACUGCCGAGUAGAAUAGGAGAAUGAAAGGACUACAGGAGCAGCUUUUCUCAUCACAUUCUUCCUCUUUUUUAUCAUGUUUGUUCUGGCACUUUUGACCACCAGAGAACAUUGAUAGCGUAUUCUAAACCACCAGAUAAAGACCUCCACUGGGAGCAUUUCUCCUCUCAAAAUAGCCCCAUAUUGCAAGAGAGGAUAAAUGCAAUGAAUUUCCCUUUUGGCCUUUCUGCAUUAUCCUUAUCAGAAGGUGAGUGUUGUUUGAUGGUUUUUCCACUCACAAAACCGACCUUUGGUUGUAUUAGAAAGAUAAAGAUAGGCAGUAGAGUAGACAUGGUAGUAGUUGACCAUAGUUCAGCAGCUGAUGCUUACAGAGAUGAUCCCCAUGGAGCCGGUGGGCAGAAUGUGCUAGCAGGCGAUUAGGCCUCGAGGCACACACUGUUUGAAGAGGCUUUGCACAUUCCUCUGCAUGCAUCUAGCAUCGUGCUCGCAAGCUUAUUUGAAGCCCAGGAGAAUGUUGGCUAAAGCGCCGACUAAACGGGCCCACAUUCAUCUCGAUUGGUGCAAUUCAGUAUAUUGUAUCAGGUGGUUCAUUCAGAUUUUACUCAUACCGGUUAACAAACCCUACCCAGUAAAUACAUCCAUAGCAAGUCACAGGGGUUUGCCCUUUCAGGGUCAGAGUUCAUCAGAGUCGAGAUCUCACUGAUUGAGUUGGUCACUUCCGCCGAAGGCAAUUCAGUUAUAACCCACACUAAAAUAACAUGCGAUUCUAGCAGGAAGCGUAAGUAUUUGAGGGUCGAAAUUUCUGAAGUUAAAUUUUUAUUUUUGUUUAGUAUCCAGAGUAAUGGAUAGUGAAAGACACAAGGGGCACGCCCCACUACAGGCAUGAUCUUGGCAACAAAGGCUAUCAUCUUACACAAGUAUUUUUCUAUGCCUCCAUCCCUCAUCUUUUGUUACGCAUUCCCUACAAUCACCAUCCCACAGAAUGUCUUGUGAGAAACUGAUGAGGACCCCAUUAAGAAAAGCUGGUGGUGAAAAGAAUGACUGUUGAUGUUUUCUCCCAGCAGUGAUUGGAAGAACCAACUGGUGUAGAAGUGAAGCAGAAGAAUGUGCAUCAUGAGUCUGAAUAGUGACAACAAGGACUCACCUGCACUUCGGAGACCAGUUUGAUGAGGACGUGCAUCACCGCAAUGGAGCAGACUUGGCUCUACACCUGAAUGCUGAACAUCGAUUAAGCAGCUCUUCUUACCCUUGAGGUUGCAAGGGUUUCUAUAAAGUACACAAGAACUUGUUGCUGUAUGUUCAGUUUCUGGCAGAUUUGAGUACUAUCUAAAAGGCCUAUCAAAUCGGAUUAAGGUAAAACUAGCCGAGCCCUGCACCUUAAGGGGGUUAGGCACCGCAAGUGCUCAUGUAAAAUUGAGUACUCAAAAAGUGGCGAAGCCGCAUUGAGGCUUCAACGAAGUGCUGGAGACAUCCUGUAGCCGAACAAAAUAGCACUUGCCAGCCAAUCACAGACCAAGUAAUAUGUAGUAUACCAUCGUAAUUGGCAAUGCAAUAAGCAUUCCAAAGAUCACCCUGCAAUUACAAUCGCCCACCAAAAACUUACUAGCAAACUCUGAUACUAGAUAGAAGUUUUUUCUUUCAAAAUGUGCUCAUAGUCAGCUCAACUGUUCAGGUCACAUCGUAAUCGGAUGAACUCAAUUUAAGCUAAUAUCUGACAAAUUUAUCAUGUUGUGAGGAAGAGAGUGCCUACGCAGUGCUUAGUAUCUCUGGAUGCACACCAUACUCCUUUGCAAACACAAAUGGUACAAUGCCCUGUGGUAACGCAGCCUGCAUUCAAAGAUAAACGCAGACAUGAGAUAGCAGAGAUUCGAGGACGGAGCAGAAGGGAUAUUAGCAGUUGUGAUCAAGAACAGCAGUGUAGAGGAAAAUCUAAGCUUCGCGGAUGAGAAGUUGAGUACUUAAGAGUACCUGCACUAUGGAAACCUUGAGCGGCACGCCACGGAGGCCCACUAAAUAAGAGGCUGCAGCAAAUACAGCUGGGCCUGCCAGGAAUCGCAGAGCCAUCCCAAACACUGCCAUUUUCGUCCCGCACACAAUUAUACGAUCGCCCAAUCCCAUGAAUAGACCUGAAAGAAAUUCACACGUUGUUCCAUGUGUCACUUUACAGUAUGAAUUGCAUCUGUUGUAGGGUCUGAAUGAGCAAAACAUGCUAAUUUGAUGAGACAGUUAUAGAACAGUUUAGGACCUAAAGAUUGUGGAAAACCCAUGCUCACAUAUACUAGUCACGUAGGACUCACUAGUACUGGGACUUACCGAGGCUAAACAUUGCCAUCCCAAGACCUGCAUCUGAAAGAAUGUGCACAGACUUGUAAAGGAUCAGCGGCAUAGAGAGGUGCCACCUGCAAACUCGUCGAAAAUCACCGAAUUGAUCGUCAGAAAGAUAAAAGCGUUGAAAUCACAUAUCACCUUUAUUUUAUACAACAUUUGAAUAGAACCACUCCCAACAAUAUAUAUGUAAAUAUGAACAAUUCGGUGAUUUACCGAAUUGAUCACUAGCUUUAAAGGGACACGUAGACACAGAGCAGGUCUGCACGGCAGAAAUUUUACCUAUUUGCAACCAAUGACCAGAUAACCCCGAGUAAACUGGAGUAAGUAUUUGGAUUCCAAACAAGUUUUCUGAAGGUCAUGACCGCAAUUAGCUUAAUCAUCACAGCAGAAGGUGGCAUGCUUUUCUUCGCUUCGUCCUCUGCCAGUUUCGGUGUCAAUUCAGCAGUCGACGUCGAACCAAACUUGUCCAACCGAGGUCCAUCCUUGUCAAGAUCCUCCAAUUUCAAAUCGUUUCUGUUUCCAAAGCUGAAGUCCUCUCGAGUGUAUUCAUCAUACGUUCUAGGGCUUGCUGCACAACAAAUAAGAGUGACAAAUAAGCAACAUGUUCGUCUGAGAUAAGGUAAAUAGGAGGCAUCCUCAGAUAUUUUAGUUACCUUACUAGUCGAUAGAAAACUGCCACAUUGAUCAAGCAAAACCCGCCAAACAUUUACAGAAGAAAAGUCCCUAUUGCUACCGCUGCAGUACGCGGAGGGGAAGACAUUUCAUUCAAAGAGAAGCGAACUCAACUUCGAACAAAAAAAUAUUCAUGCAAGUGGGAGGCAAAUGGAUCACCUGCAGCAAGGCCACGGUCCAACUGUGGAUGUACAAGCAUGCGCACUUCUUUUGGGUCAAAUCUUUGCUGAAGAUUAGCAGAGGUAUCAUUUCCUCCAAAGACGUGCAAACCAGCUUCAGAGACGGGGGAUGCAUUCGCGCUCCACACAAACAUGUGAAGUUCCUUGGCAUCCUCGUCCGCCCUUGGAGAGGCUUUUGGAUCCUUCACCUUCUUCGCGAUUUGUGACGCCUGUGGUGAAUACACUGGGUUAACAAUCUGAGUGUUGACAGCAGUUGAGGGAGCAGUUGCGUUGACGUUUGCAGCACCUCCAAGAGUAAGAAUGUUGAUGGCUGUUUGGCUUCCUGGAUAAAUGGUGCGACCAUCAGGGCCCAUUCCCGGGGCACCCAAAGUGCUUAGAGUCCCAUGUCCUGUGCAAUCGGUGCCAGGUACUCCUAUCCCUCCAAGGCCAGGUCGGGGCGUGAACAUCCUAGCCCCCAUUCCGUUCCGAUACAAAGGUGGGGCGAACCGAGGGGAAUUCAUGUUCAAUCCUCGGUGAUGCGUGUGUAUAUCCUUCGAGUUUUCCUCGUUGAAAUUGGAAGAUCUUGGUGUGGGACCUCGAGAUGAUUGCAAGGAGUAGACAUCCGAAGUGUCAAAAUUCGACUGACGAUGAGGGCUUCGCUGCGACAUCAUGGAGUGGAAUUCGCCCUGGUUAAAACUCGAAUCUCGUGGCGUAAGAUUCACUGAGGAAUGCAUGGAGUAGAUUUCUGCACCAGUAAGGUUGGAAGGGCGGGGCGUUAGUGCCUUUGAAGAAGGCAUGGAGUGGUGCGCUGAGUGCAUACCCUGCGACCUAGAUGACACAGACCUUCGAACCUUGACGUGCAGUUUGCCAUCAUCGCCUAUUUCAGCUUCCGUGAGCACUGGCUCCCGCCCAUCCAGGGACAUCACGUCUGAGUCCACCUUGAAGGAGACGAUAGAUGCAGCGUUUUCUGGGAACUGCUGCAUGAUUAGAAUCUUUGCAGCCCGAUACUCGUACAUUACAAGUAAGAGAGUGUACCAGAUUAUACACUGCAGGACGACUGCUUGGACGGUGAGAUCGCCUGGCCCAGCUCCAUACAUAGCUGCCAACAGAGGGGUUCCCAUCACCAGGGUAUUGGGUAUUGUGAUCAGCACAAACAAUGUUAUCAUCCAUUCCAGACUUCCCCGCUUGGCAUAUCGUGCCCAGAGACCCAAGCAUAGGAGAACAAGCACCUUGGACACCGCAUCGGCUGCAAUGAAUUUGAAAUUCAUCGCGUAUGGGUUGUUUCCGGAGAUGAACUGGAAGGAUAGAAGGGGGACGGCGAAAAUGGACACAAAUCUGUUGAUUCCGCCACAUUGCUGUGGUGUCAAAAUCCCCCACCACUUCACAGAGCCGUAGGCCAACAUCAUCGCCACGUAUAAAGGUACCAUGGCACUGAGAACAUUGUAUAUGUCAUGGCCGUUAAUCAUUUUGAGAACGUUUGUCCGGCCGGUUUGAUUAACAAAGGACUUGACUAGAACAGCAGAAUCUGCUUGCUGAAGGAACAAAUUCUCGGGGAUCGUAGCGGGAGAAGAGAUCUGUUCAGGCUUAAGCUAAACGAGGGAGAUAAUGAGUACCUUCACAAGCUGAAAGUUAUCAGCCCCUCUUAUAUCUCCUUCCAAAACGAAAACCUCCAAACGCACUUAAAAAUUUCUUACAGCUUGCUCAUGGACCACAGACUACCGAACUGGGAAUGGACUACUGAAGCCUAAAUCCUUUGAAGGAAAUUCUCUAGUUUAUUAACCUGGGUUGGAGAUUAUAUCAAUCCCUUCAUUGGUCUAAGAAUCCGGACUUCCAUAGACUACGUGAGCGAGGAACUCCACUGUAGGUUAACACCAACUAUUCAACGCACAGCUAAGCAAUGCGAGAAACCAGGUGCAGCUGUAGUCUAUUCGAUGUAGACUCAAAGGGGUACAAUGUGAUCCUCUUCAACAAGAAUCAGAACAAUGAAAAAAAAAAAAAAAUCUCAAGAGAAGUCCGCCUUUUAGUGAUUGAUCAUAUUAAGAGAACGUGCCGGCACUAAUACACCAAUCCCAAGAAGGCUUUCUAUAGAAGACUAUUAAACUGUCUACAUAAGCAGGAGCAGCGCUAACAGGAGAGACCUGUCUGGACUGCUUGAUAAGUUUCUUUCCCACUCACCAAACUAGCCUCCUGUGCACGACUCUGCUCGUUCUGAUGGCCCGACGACGAUGUCCACUCACUGAAGCGCCUUGUGCAGUCGGAAGCUCUAGCGGGCCGCCACGACAAGACGAACCCGCAAGCUUUAUUUUGCUGAAAGAGAGAGCCAAAUUCCUCCUCGCAUUCAAAGUCGUCUAUGCAGGGGUACUACAGACCAGUAUUCUACGAUGAAACUGGAGAUCAACUCGCAUUUUCAUGCUAAAUCACAGCAUGAUUCAACUAACAAAUUUCUCGCAGUGUGAACAGGAUACACUACUCACAACUCCCUUCAAAAACAGAGCUGCGCCGUUUUGAUCUUCACUGACAGCUCCAAUCUCUCUUUGACACAGACAUGCAGCGGAAAUCUCUCCCUAGCACUUCAGACACUUCUAAUCCUCAAAACCUCACAGCAAAUGCACAGCUCUCUCACUUGCAUUAAAGAAUCCCCGGCACAAAAUCCUAAAAACCAAAAUAGCACGCCCUGCCUUGCACUCCUUCUGAAAUGAAUGCACGCUGCAUAUCAUCGAGGAAGAAAACAAAAAUGAAUGAACAAAACGACGGUACUACCACGCAAAUUUUCCAACCACUACACUGAUUAUCCCCUCCCACACUAGCACUUCCGCAAUCCCUUGACCUUCGUCAGAUACACCCCAUCACCAAGUCGAAACAACAUAUUUGUUCCACUCCACUUAAGAUCCUUCAACCCACGAUCCUAUUUCAAUCAAGCCACCACUACCCGAGAUUACUAGACUCACUGCAACUAAACGCCACCACGCUUCCCCCACAAUUCUCAAUGAACCUCACCACACGCAAUUCGGCACCAAACUUCGCAAGGCUGGGCUCGUCGGGAUCGCCGGAGAGGGGAGUUGCAUGGCAGCGAAGACAAGAUCGAUGAAAGUCUCAGGAUUGGGAGCAGGGACGAGUUUGAGUAUGAUGGAGGCAGGCAGCGAUGCUGCAAGCUUUGAUGAAAGAGGGGAAUGGGGCCAGACCAGCUCUUGUCCCGAAGAAUAGAGCCCCAAAGCACCGACCGCAGGUCGGCCGUGACGGAAUGCCGAAUUGUCAGACUGCGGGUAACAGCAAGGCCGUUUCUUACCCUAGAAAGAGAUCCACCGUUUUACUAUGUCAGGGAGGGGGUAAAUGCAGCGGUGAGUCAUGGCUUGACGUGAACUUACUAAUGGUGUAGAACGUGGGAACGUGGCUCGCUGCCAUUGGGAACGCAGGAGCAGCUCUGUUGGCUGAAAGGUAAAUGUGGAAAGGCGACAGAUUCUGCGGCGGAAAAUCGUAGCCGUGUUCUGCGUCAUAUUUUUAAUCCCGGGGUAAACAAUACUCUUUGCCUCUUCGGGGCUGUGGUAAAUUUUCUUUUUGCCCGCACGAUUCCAUGGAAUCACUUUGGGCUUUCUUUUUCAUAGUGUAACUUUCUUUUCCUUUCUUUUCCUUUCUUUUCUUUUACUUUUUAAAGUUUUAUCGGGUUAAUGUUUAAAACCUUAAGUCAAUAAGAACAAUAACUAGUUUAGAUUGAUGCCUAUUUGGUUUCCUGUUAAGGAUGUUUUUAAGCAUUUUUCAUGUAAAAUUUGUAAAAAAAAAAAUUGUCUUCACUGUGAUUAGCAUUCUUGAUUGCAAUAUUGUGCCAUUCUUUUCAUUCUCCUCACACACAUGCAUAUAUAUAUAUAUAUAUAGAGAGAGAAUUUUAUUUUCUUAAUUGACCUUUAUGACUUUACUUAAAUUUCGCAAAAGUACAGGAGUGUACAUUUAAUCUGUCAUAAUGUGUAAAUUUAAAGUUUUAAUAGCAUCAAAAACAUGUAAAAUUAUUUAGUAGUUUGGAAGUUACCAACAAAGAAUAAUAUCAUGUUUGCUAAAAACAUUAGUAAACUAUUCAGGCAGAGAUUUCAGCAAUUAAGAUGUAAAAUCUAGAGAUAAAGCAUUUCAAUUUAAAACUUAAUUGGAAUUAGAAAGUAACCAUUGUCACAAUUUACUUUUUUGUUGAGUACAUAUGUGCUGAAAUUUUAACAUCAAAAGUAAAAUAACUGAUAAAAUACUGACAAUGAGAUAUACGGGUAGUAAUACCAAUUUCCCCUCUUAGAUAUAUUUUCCCUCAUAGUAAUGCAAACGAGGAUCUAUGUUAUUUUCACUAACUAAUUCAAAUAAAAAGCAUGAGAUACAAUUCUACUAUUUCAAUUUUAUUUUAUAAGAUUCAUCUGUGACAAUAGAUUCAAUGUGCAAGUUUUUAUUUAUUAUACUCUCUACACCACUAAAGUUUGACAAGAGGAAAAUAAGUGUACAACUCCUUUUCUAACUAAGAAUACUUUGAGAAGGUUGUAUCAAUUCCUGGGGCCAAAAUUUAACCUACUACCCAAGUCAGCAACACAUCAUCACUUUUCGUUUACUUUCUAAAGAAGUGAAAUUUUGAUGAAUUUCCAGUGUUUUUAAACAGAGAACAUUGAUGCAGAAUUACUAAACAUUACUUGGAGUUAAGGACAUGGUUGAGAGAACCAGCAAAGGGGCAGAUCUACCUGUCACAACUUUGUCAUAAGCCUCCAGGAUCCUGAAGUAAUAUCUUUAAUCACAAUACCCAGUACACUGUUUCAGCCUGUUCGCUGUGUGUGUGUUUUCACCUCUGAUGCUGCUUCCUUUUCCAAUCCUACAGGGGCAAAUAUGAACAAAGGAAUCAAAAUGUCACAAUCUACAGCUGCAUGUGAAGUUAAAAACAGAUACAAGGGGCAGAAGAGUUAUUAUAACCCAUAUUGGGUUUCCAAUCUCCAGAGCACAUAUGGCAUUCAGUUUUGUUCCAUCAAACAAACAAACAAUAGGGAAAGUCAAUAGUGUGAGGAGCUCUACUGAGAUUCAGGAAUGGAGCCAACAGUGUUAAGCAUUUCUGUAGAAAAGUGGGUGAGUUACCUCUGACUUGAAGAUCCAAGACAAACUAGUAGUACUGGAGAACACACAGUAUAAGGGGGAUCAAUGCCGUUUGUAUCCUUACUGCCUUCUACAGUGAAGAAAUGCUUCCCCCCCCCCAUCUGCAGGUUGCCUACAAAAGAUGCUACAGAAUUUGGUCCAGAAUCUAUUUUUAAAAAGGCAGGAGUGAAUCUUCCAAUACCAAUUUAUUACUCCGCCUAGUUAAAAACAUACUUGCAGUUUAAAAUUAACUUGCACCAAUUUUAAAAUCGUAGUUCAGCCUGCAAGCAAGAAUAUUUGUUGUCCCAGCAGUGUUCAUUGUAUGGUUUCUUUAAUUGAAAAAUAAAAUAAAAUGUAUAAAUGAAAAAUGUAACAAAAAUCUCAAAUUGAGUUAUUUAGACCCAAGAUAUCAAACUUGAUAUAUUGUAAGGCUAGCUGGGUAGUGUGAAGGUAAGUAGUGGUGUUAUCAUCUACUGUAGAAUGUACUAUCAGCAUAUAUUCAACCACGUAAGGUAUAUACGUAUGCACAUAUAUGUAUUAUCAUGAUAGUAUUUUACAUUAGACAAGAUUAUCAGAUAAAUUUUCUGAUAAUCUUACCCCUUUUGAAAAGCAGUAACUCAGAAAACCAUCUUGGAUAUAAUUAUUGUGAUGGGGUAUUUUUCUUCCAUUUUGGGUACAAUGGCAACCACAUCAAGGUUAGGAGCCCUUACAAUUGGCAUCAAAUCCCAUGGAGACAACAAGCUCCCUCUAACUUACUUUUUAGAGUAGCCAAAGGUUUCUUCUCUACCACUCUUCUUGUGUGGUGUGGUCUCUGUGUUGUACAAUAAUGAAUCCCACAGCCCUUCUUGUGCUUGGGGAACCUUAUGGCAUCCACAUGGGAACAAGUGGGGAGUAUUCAAGUGCCCAGUUGUAUUCAAGGAUCCUCAGCACAAGGCCAAAAACAGAGAAGGGGAACAGGGACAUGACAACAACAACAAGAUUGACAAAAAAAGAAAAGAAAAGGGGGGGCCUGGUUCAGUGCUUUGAGUGCUUUGCAGUCAUGUCCUUGGCUACAUGGGACUUAACCCCCCCACCCUUUCUCCACAAUGUUUCCCACUCCCCCCCUUGUUCAUUUACCCUAAACCCUAAACAUUUGUUUAAUGGAAUGAAAAAAAAAUGGCAACUUUACCUUUCCCAUAAUGACACCAAAAAUGAAAGAUUAAGAAGUUGAGCAGUUGAGUGCACAUGGUUUAUGUGAACAGAUCAAGUGAUCAUCUGAUCUUGUUCAGUACCCCCCACAUUCUGAUAGAUUGUCCAGUUUAGGGCACGUGACAAGUAUCUCUUGGCUUUUGUACCGUUUCUUCCAGGAUGAGGAAACUGGUUCCAUCCAUCCAUCCAUCCAUCCAUCCAACCAUCCAUCCCUAACCCUAAGGUUGAGAGUUGGCUUGGGGAAAAGGAAAUGGAUAUUCUCUCUAAGGUUUGUGGUUGCUCAUUUGGGAAAAAUGAUUCAAUAAAGUAUACAUGUUUCAAGAUUCUGCUUGAACUCUUUGUGGGAAGGUGUUGAACUGUGUGUUCCAAGGGUCUAUGAGACCAUAUGUUUUUUUUCUUUUUUUUUUUUUUUUUUUGUUACAAAUGAGAUUUUCAAAUAAGUGUAAUGAAUCUGGUAAAACGUAAGAAUGAAAAGUAAAGCAUACUCAAGCAGCCAUUGGUAUGUUGCCACUAUGGCAUGUACAAAUGCAAUCGAAGGAAAAAUAAAUAGAUAAAUAAAUAAAUAACUUCUGAAACUAACAUUUACCCGAAACAAACUACACUUGGAAAAUAAAAAUAUACUUCUUAAAAUGUUCUGAUGACAAAUAAAAAUUAAAAAUCUGGCUUAGUGAAAGUCCAGCAGUCCAUAUUCUUCACAAACCCAAAAAAAAGCCUAGUGGCUGAUCACACCUCACGAGUCAAGGGUGAAACCGGCAGAGUUAGAAUGAGCAAAGUCCAGGCUAUCCAUCCAUCCCAUCAUACUUCAUCCAAACGUACCCCCACCCAUCCAUCCAUCCACAACUUCAUCCAUAUAAAACCCCAUUCAUGCAUUCAUUCAUGGCCCAGCCAAUCUUGAAGGAUCCUGGGAGCUAAGGUAGAGUAAGUGAAGUCACACGUGAUCACUCGGGCAAGCACAGAACCCAACAAUCCCUCACACACACACACACACACACACAGUCACUCGCACACACAGAGAGACAGACAGACAGUGGGCUCUGUUUCCCUUGCCUCACACACUCACAGACACUCUCACUCUCUGUCUGUCUGUCUGUCUCUCUCUCUCUCUUUCACUCACAUACCACUAAGUUUAAGGACUUGCAAGCCAGGCCAUCCUCCUUCUCACUCACUCACUCUCUCUCCUACAGCCUUUGCCUACAGCACAAGAGCUCUGGCAGUAGCAGAAGCAGCAGGAGCAGCAACCCUAUAUCAUCUCAAAUCAAAAAAGCCAUACAUAUGAAACAGAGGUAGUUUCAUCACCUGGAUGGUGAGGGAAAGCUUCGGAAGAAGAAGAAGAAGCCUGUUGCAUCAUGUGAAAGUUACCAUACAACUCUAUCACCACUGCCUCCACCAUUUCUACUACUACUAAUACUACUGGGUAGUGACAAGCCCUGUCUCUUCCUUAUUUAUAUUUGUGUAUUAGUUAGGGGUAGAGGAGGUCCUUCAUGGCUCACACACACACUUUAGAUUGGUCAUAUUUUCGUUUUAUUCAUUUUAAUUGUAUGGGUGGGGGUUAAGGGAUGGCAGGAGACUGUGAUACAACACAAAACUAGCAUGAAAAGGAAGGAAGAAAAGAAAAGAAAAAACAAACAAAUGGGAUAAUGUCCUGCUCAGCAUGCAAAUGGUUCUUCUAGAGGAGACAACAGUACUGGUAGGAAUAGGAAUAGGAAUAGGAGUGUGGUGAUGGUGGUGGGUAUGGUACUACUGCUGCUAUUGCUGCCUCCUCUCCCCCUUCUCUUAUGUUAAUAAAAACUAUUUCUCUCUCUCUCUCUCUCUCUCUCUCUACACAUAUAUAUAUAUAUAUAUAUGUGUAUGUAUAUUUUUCUAGUUAGUUAGUUAGUUAUUGUAUUUUUAUGUAUCUUAUUAUCUUUUUUGGUAUUGCCUUGAACAAUGGCUAAUGACAAGGGAAGUUGCAAAAGGUGUCCCUUGCAACUUCAAUGUGAAUGUCACUGAACCCACUUGGUUUUGAUUUUGGGCUGUUGGGUUUUUUUUUAUUAAAGUGUUAUUGGUAUUUCAAAAGUUCUGUUUUCUUUUGUUCCUAGAAGGGAAGUCAAUUGCGCAAUUUUUAUGACUCGUUGGUUACUGUUUGCUUUUUUUCUUGUUUUUGUUUUGGGUGAUUUUCAAAUUUUUGGUUGAAGGAGAGGUGGGUGAUAUGUGCUAUAGUUAUUGUACUUUUUAAAGUUACUGAAUAGUACUGAAAUUAUAUUUGAAUGAAAAUUCUAUUGUGGUAAUUACACUUUGGGAAGAAGAUAAAUAUCAUGCAAUCAAUGAAACCAAUGUGGAUCUUUUGAUUUUAUUUGAUUUAUUGUCACUUAGUAGCAAUCAGUACUGCAUUAUGAAUAAUUGAGCUAAUGGUAUAUAUUAGCAACUAUGUGAUUAACUUCACCCCAUUUAAAAGAAUGUAAACUGGACAAUGUGUUUUUCUAAUUUAUUAUCAAACUAAAGUUGAUAAAAUGAGCUGAAUUUGUUUUAAUGAGACAAAAAUCUCAUGUGAAGUAACCAAUCAUGUUACUUGACUUAAAUGCAUUCCUACCAAUCUCAAAAGUCAAACUUAAGUUGAGUUUACAAUCUGAUUUUUGAGGUUACCUUAACAUUUUUUUUUCAUGCACUAUAAAAUGUAUUUGUGUGUGUAAAAGAAAUUCCGCAGGCCAAUAAAGCCAUAAACCUGCAACAUUAUGGGAUGAAUGUUGAUUUUUUACAGUACCUUUGGGGAAAUUACAUUCUUAGAAUAAAUGAAGUGAUUUACAUCAUAUCAAUAUUUUGAAACUAAUUCUAAGUCUGUAAAAAAUUAGGAUAAAAAUUAAAAGAUAAAAAUAUUUUAAAAAUCAAGAUUUAAAAAUACUUCAUUGUAACGUUUUUACCAAUUACAUGUACUGUGAAUGUUUCAAUUCUUCUUACUUAUAUAUCUUUUAUUUUUUAAUAGAAAAAGAAAAAGAAUCAUUCAAACUUAAAAAAAAAAUACAUGUGAAUAAAAAAAUUCUAUGAAUUACUUUCCCAACGAUUUUUUAAAAUAUACAUUUAUAACCUUAUUCUUUAUAAAAUAUUUUUAUUUUAAAAUCCUAAAUAAAAUUUGAUUAUCUUGGUAUUUUCUUGAACCAUCAUCUUAUAACAUUAAAAAAAAGUAUUAUGAAAGUACAAUAAAAAAAAAUUGAUGUGAUAUAAUAAAGAACAUACAAUUAGUAUAAUACUAUUUUUGUUUAUAAAUAUUAAAAGCAAUAAACACACUAAUUCCGUUGCAUAUUGUAUUGUUAAGAUUGAGAUACAUUUCAAUAUUGCCUCUAAUUCUUACUCUAACACUUAAAUUCUAUAGAACCUUCUAUUGGUGAUUUUAAAUAAUUAGAAAAAUCAUCAAGAAUUUUAUAAAGCUUUCUUUGGAAUGGUGUAGAAGACACAAUGCAAGUUUUAUACAAGACUACAAUAAAUUUCAAAAGACAAUAGAAGGUUCUUAAAACUAUAAAGGUUAUAGGAUAUUCUAAUAGAUCAAGAAAGGCCCAUAUAAGAUGUAUAAUUUAUUUUAUAUUUGUAACAUCUUAUUUUUCUUUAGUAAUAAUAUUUUACAAGAAGCAUUAAAUACUAUUACUUACUACAUACAAGAAUUUAAAGAUUUGUAAUAUUUUUAUAUUGCAAUAUAGAUUUCAAUUUGGUUAAUGCUAAAUUAAUUGGUAAAAAUGUAAGAAAAUAAAUUCACUUGGAUCUACAAUACUUACAUACCACAUAAUAACCAAAAAUUAAGAAUGAUUUUUAAAGAUUUUUAUGCCAAUAUUAUAUUUUAAAUCUUUUUUUUUCCAAGUAUUAAAAUCUAUUAUGUCUUUAAAUAAUAUAUUACAUUUGAAAUAUUAUCAAAUUUAAUAAAAUUACACAAGACAUUCUAACAUCUUGUUUUAAGUACUUUUAUCACAAAAAAAUAGUAUAAAUUUUUAUAAUCAAAUUCUACAAUAAGUAGCUUUUGAACUUUUAUAUACUCACUACUUUUAUUAUGAUUUUUCAAAAUUUAAUGCUCAUUUUUUAAAAAUAACUUUAAACUUUAAAAAUUAAAUUAUAUCUUAACUUUCUCAAAAAUAAAAAAUUAUUUUGGACUUAUAAAAUUAUAAUUUUUUCAUAAAAACUAUUUUAUGAUAAUUUUAUAAUAUAUAGAUUAUAAUUAUAAUAUUAAAGAAAUUAAAUAACUAAAAUAAUAUUUUUGCUAGGUGAUAAGUUUUAUUAACUUAAUAACAUAAUACAUUAUCAACACAAAGGUUUAAAUUUUAUUUUUAAAUAGAUAGAGUAGUGCUUAUAGAUAUAUUUAAAUAAUACUUCUAGAUUAUCUAAAGAAUAUAAUUAGGUUAUUUUAUCAAUCUAGAAAAAAAUUACUUAUUACAUGUAUUUAUAUUAUAUAUUUUCUAUAUAUAAUUAUCAUAUGUGUUUGUAUUUUAUAUUUAAAAUUUUAAAAUAUUUUAAUCUAAUAAUUUUUUUAAUAUAUCAAUAUUUUUUAAAAAUAAAUGUACAUGUAUUUAUUAAAACUAAUUAUGAGUACAAAAUAAAUAAAUAAAUAAAUAAGAUAAAACAAAAUAUUGAUAAAAUUAGAAAUUAUGAUCAAUUAGUAAAAUUCUAUAAAUACUCUAUAAAUAAAAAGUUCUUACUUUGUAUAAUAGUAAUUAGUAUUAACUUAGGUUUCAAUGACUCUUUUAGAACUUAUAUUUAAGAACAUUUGUUGCUAUUAGUUUUCCAAGUAAAUUUCAUAUUUUGAAGUAGUGCUUCUAUUAAUUUAAUAGUUUGUUACAUAUUAUAAUAGUCUACAAUGUCAUUGUAUGUAUGUAUGUAUAUAUAUAUAUAUAUAUAUAUAUAUACAAGCACCUAAAAUAUUUAUUUAUUUAGAUAUAUUUAGAACAAUCUAUAAUAUAAAUGCAAGCAAGCUUAUAAAAUUGAAUUCUUUUAUGUAAUGUUAGUAGAAAAAACUCACAAAUAAAUCAAAGAUAUUUUUAAUCAUUUUUACACCUAGUAUUUCAAAUUGUUUCCUCAGAUAGUAAAAAAGCAUUUGUGCUCUUCAGCUCGAUAUGAUAUUAUUAAAAACUCACAAGUGUGGUAAGUAAUUGUUUGUAAAUAUCAAAUUCUUUUUUACUUAUAAGUUUUUAACAUAUUUUUAAAAUAUUAUAUUUUCAUUAUAUUUAAACAUAUAAUAUAUAAAAAUAAAAUGGAUGAUCCUCAAGUUAUAGAAAGUAUAUAAAGAAAUGUAUGUAAGUAAUGUUACACUAUUUUUGCAUACUUUUACCGUAAUUGUGUAAGUAUGUUACACAAAGUUUUUAUCAAAAGGUGUCAAUAGUUCCUGAAUAUCAAGUCAAUUAUUUUAUUUAAGUCGAAAUGUUUUCUGACAAGAAAACCAUGGCAUAAUUAAAGAAUUUCAAAUUAUUAUAUCAAAAAAUUACAGAGACGUUUUACUGUAGAAAACAUUGUCUUUAAAUUCAAUUCUUUGUGCUUGAUUUGUAAAAGGUAUUUGUUGGAAAUCAAACACAUUCUAACGAUUGUAAGAUGUGAAUAUUCUUUAAGGCACUUUCUUUUAAAAUAGACAUAUUUUUCAUGAAGGAUACAGUCGAUGUCUUUAAUUUGAAUAAUUCAACAAAUAACACACUUUGUUAAACUUCACAAAAAAAAUUGCAGACAUAUACUUAUAAAAUAUUUAAAUAUUGUAAAAGUAUGAAUGUAUUGCAACAUUCAGUGCAAAAUAUCUAAAAAUUUAAAAUAAAACUUAAUAAAAAAUAAUUUUUAACUUUAUUUGGACUACAAUUCUAAAAUUUCACAGUAAUGAAUAAAAAUGGGUUUAAUGACUUGGUUAUAGCUUGAAAUGAUCAAUAGUUGUACAAAAAUGCCUAAUUUCUUUCUUAAAUAACAAAUAAAGUUAUCUAAUAAAUAAGAUUGGAUAAAAUUUGAAGCACUUAACUAAAUUAUAUUAAUACAUUUUAACAAUAUUGCCAAAUCUAUUUGUGGAAUCCAUUAACUAAGUGUAAAAAAUUUGUGUUUUUGCUUACAGCUUAAUUUAACAAUUAAAAAAAAAAUACAAUGGAACAUAAAUUUAAAAAAAUGUAAAAUUUUACAUUUCUUUAUUAAAUUCUUAUCUAUUAUAAUUAGAAAAAAAUUAUUUAAUUUAUUGAAAUAUAUAUAUAUAUAUAUAUAUAUAUAUAUAUAUAUAUUCCUUGAAAUAAUUAGCCUUUUGUUCAAUUUUUUAUUUAUUUUAUUUAUUUUAUUUUUAUAUAUCUUGGAUAUUUAAAUUUUUCGUUUAUUAAACAAAGAACUAAUUUUUUCAUAAUAUGGUUUUAUUUAAAAGUCUAAUUCGUUUUUCAAAAUAACAUACUAAAUUUUGUAGUUGUUAAACAAUUAAUUUUAGAUUAAUCUUGUACAUGUAUCUUUUGUAGAGAAACAUAUAUAUAUAUAUAUAUAUAUAUAUAUAUAUAUAAUUUAAAAACUCAAUUAGAGUUCAUUUAAAUUGAAAAAAAUUGACAUGUAAAUAUAAAUAUAUAACAAACUAAACCAUAAAUCUGUAAAUUAUAUAUAUAUAUAUAUAUAUAUAUACACUAACUAAAACUUCUAAAUGACUAUUGAAACUUGUGUUAAUAUUCAUAUUUAUAUAUUUAUAUAAUUAUGAAUAAUUUAAACUUCUCAUGUAAAUCAAGACACAUGAAAAAUAUCAUUUUUGAAAAUAUCACAUACCUUUACUUUUGUGAUUUUUUUAUAGUGAAGUUAAUCAAUUCCUCUGACUAACAGCAGAUAAGAAAAGAAUUAUAUUUAAAAAUAUUUUUUUACCUGCGUUGGUUUUGUACAAUACUUAUCCUGUGUCAAAGAAUCCUCACUAAAACUAACUAAACAAAUAAAAAAGAAGAAAUACACACAAUUUUUUAAUAGUUCGGAAUCUUUCAAAUAUUAAAAAAAUCUACGUUUGCAUUUUUAUAUGCAUUGUGUGAGUGGCGCACUUGAAUACAUCACUAUUUUAUAAUUUAUCAUAGUAUUGAUUAUUUUUAACACAAAGAUUUAUCAAGGUUGUUUGAUUAAUAACUGACUGCACUUUUUAUUGGAUAAUAAUUAAUUUAUUGUUGUACUAGGUAACAUUGUAAAAGAAUAAAGCAUGUGUUAUUUUUUUUGUAAACUUUUUAAGUCUGGCUGAAGACAACAUAAGUAAAUAAAAAUGAAGAAAAAAAUAUUAUGAAAAUUUUGGUAGUAUAUAAUUUUCAAAUAUAAAAUCAUGAAUAUUCAAUGUUCUAAUACAGACUAAUCAUAUGACACUAACAUCAUGUUCUGAUACUGACCAAUUAUUCAGGAUAAUCACAUGAUUUGUGAACACAGUUGCCAGAAGAUUUGACUAGAAGCUUAACAAUUAUGGAAAAAUAAAUAAUAUUAAAAUGUGGGAUGAUGGAAAAAAAUUAGAACAAAGAAAAAGAAAAAAAUAAAAAAGAUAAAAAGAUACACAAUGUUCAAACAAAACAUGAACAGGAUCCAUUUUUCAAUUAUAGAUUUUGUGAAAACACCAAAUUGAUCACAUUUUAAAAUUUGAAGAUUUUGAGAUGUUAAUUAUUAACAAAAUUUAUGUUUUAUUUGUGAUUCAAAGUUUAUUUUUUAAAAAAUGUAUGAUUUCUCAAUUUUUUAAAUUUUAGAUUAAAUUAUCAAAUUAUUUCCAAUUGAUAUCAAGCUGGAAAAAAAAAUCAAUAAAGAAAACUUAAUGUACAGCACAAGAAAAAAACAUCUUAUAAGAGAUUAAAUGUUCUGUCUUCAAUACAAUUUAUUUAUUACAGUAGUAGAAAAAAAAUCUCAUAAUAUUCCAAUACAGUACAAUUUAUUUAUUGUGUGAUUAUAAUUGAAAACACUUUCAUUAUAUUAUGUUGAAAUAAAUAAAUUUACUUAUAUAUUUAAAAUAUAUGGAAUAAAAUAAAACAACUCUACAGAGAUUUUUGUAUGUUAUGUAUUUUGGUGUUCAGUUACAAUGUUGUGUAAAAAGUAAUAAUAACUCAUAUUGCAGCAACAUUAUUUGAAUAUAGAUCAUAUAUUAUCUUUGUAAAAUCAAUGUGUAAUAAAAAGUUCAUUAUUAAAAAAAUCCUUGAUCCAUACAUAGAUUAUCAACAAAUGAGAUUUUAUAAAAAAUUGAAAUAAUGUUAGAUUUCUAGUUUUUCUUUUAUAUCAAAAACAAAAUGUAAAAAACUGAAGAAUUAAAUAAAAAAUCAAAUAUAUACAAAAAAAUAACUCUAUAAAAGUUAUGCCAAACCUCCAAUUAUACAAACUUAGAUUCCCAGACAUGGUUGAUUUGAAGAAAACCCCUUCUCGAAGGCUAGUGCACCAAGGCGACCUAGAUUGAACUUUACAUAUCCACAAUCUUUUCAUUGAGGAAUAAAUAACUCUAAUUAACAAAAACUAUUAAUGAUAUUAGCCAGAAUAAACCCUCAGUUGAGCUAUUAUUCAUUCUCACUAUAUAAGUAUAAUAAUAAUUAUUGUUAUUAUCAUUAUGAAUGCCCCCAUUUCAGUGUGUGUUUGUGGGUUCUCUCAGCAUUCAUCCCCUUGUUAGAGAGACUGUAGAAACUGGGCCAGCAAAGAAAGAAGCAUUGCUUUAUGGGGCCCCAAUGGCCUCACACCCACCCUCCCACAUGCACAAUUGUCUCAUUCAUCCCUCCUUCAUUCAUCCACACACUCACCCCCUCCUUCAUUCAUCCACACAUUCCUUUGUUUGUUGAUGACAGAAGAAAGAAAGCCAGAAAGGCACGCAGACUAACAAAAGAGAACACAACAAGGGGAAGGGAUCUUUAAUUGUAAAGGGGCUGGGCUGGCUUCGAGGAUGGUUUGGGGGACAUCAUUCUGGUGCGCAUUCAAUGCGUGGAAGCAUUCCAUUCUCCACUCUAUGAAUUAAAAAUAAAAAAUUAAAUUUGCAUGGUAGAGAAGAGUAUAAAUUAUAGAAUUCAAUAGAAAGUAAUGUAAUGUAAUGGGAUAGUGUUUGUGGUAUCUUAAGGGUGUUACAAAACUUGAUGCACAGAGGGUUGUCAUACAUUAGUUAUGAUAUGUGAUACAGUGGACCCACAAAUGUUGAUUUUGUCUGCUUCUCACUUCUUAUAUUCCUCAUGUAGCACCACCACCUCCAUGAGAAAGUCCUUUAAAAUAUAAUUCAUUUAUGUAUCAAACUACUGUCUUACAGUGAUGCUUCAUUCAGACAUGAUCCCUUCACUUCCAGUUUCUGUGUAGGGAUCUAGUGCAUGGAGGUGAAGCUUUCAGAGGCAAACAAAUACAAGCCUCGUGAUUCUUUUUCUUAGUUAUCCUUUGAAUAUGAAGAAACAUGAAUGCAGUUCCAAGGUUUAAGACAGUUGUGAAUGGGUAGCCACAUGAGGGUAUUAUUUUAUUGUACAAAACCUAAAAAGGAGCUAUGCCACUAUCUUUCAGUCAGACCUACUGAGUUGGAAUCAUAACUUCCUCAUACACCCCUCAGUCAAUAUCAAACAGAAACAGAGCUUUAAAAUCAAUGAUGGUGUGCUUAAAAAAGCCAUACAUAGGAAAAUAUAUAGAAAGAUAAGAAAAAGUGCUCAUUUUGUAUAGUUCCUUUCCACUGUUUUGUUGCAUGAUGUUCACUUAUUGUCAGAAUGCCAAUUUGCUACUGCUUAUAAUUCAUGGAAAUUUGCCUCAAGUGGAAGGAUUUUUUCUCCUUUUCUUUUCGUCACAUUUAAUCUUUAAUAAAUGAAUAGCCUUAUUUAGACUAGUGCAAAAUAAUGGUUGGUGUAUGAAACAGUAUAAUUUUACACCCAUUGUACAGAAAAAAUUAAGUGAUUGUAUAACUACAAACUUUCAAACCCUUGCUCUCACCAAGUUACUGUAAUGGAGUAGUGAAGUAUGUGAAAAUUUAUGUUCCUCAACUUGAUUCUCUCCAUCAAAUAGAAAGCACUUGUUUGAGAUCCACACAUGACAACACAUCUCAGUUUUGCUAAACACCAUAUGCCCUCCAUGCCAGCCAGCCAGCCAGCUAGCAAGGUUGUAAGUGCCCUUCACAGAGAGUACAAUGUGCUGAAUAGCACCAGCUCCUCACCAUGUGAAGAAGGCCAAGAACCUCCACCUCUUCCUCUUCUACAGGUUUGGUCCCCAUUUUCUGUCCUCUCAGCCAGCAAUGCAACAAGCUUUUGUCUCACUACAAGCCUUGUCUCUCUAGGAGCAAAAUAAAACCAAGUAACUAAAAAUGAAAAAUUGCAAACCCUACUACUACUGGGUCCCAAGUGUGUGUGGCCACAGCCUCCCAGGCUGUAAGCCAUCCCACUCUCAUUGAGGCCCUGCCCACUGUCUCGUGCCCCUCUCUGUGCCAGGGCUGCUUCUGCUUCUGCUGCUACUGAUGCCCCACUCAGAAAGAGCUCACAUCUGCUGCAGCAGCAGCAACAACAGCUAGAGGAUGAUAUUGUCAGAGUAGAAGGAGAGAGGAGAGGAAAGGAGAGGAGAUGAGAUGAGAUGAGGGAGUUCUGCCAUAGGUGUCCACUUCAUCAUCACCUGUGCCCAUAUCCCUCCCCUUGUCUCCUCCUCCAGCAAAAUGAUUUACUCUGUAAACCUCUUUUUUCCCCUUUCCAGUGGGUAGCUGAAAGAGAGGGUGUGUACAAGGCCUAAAAAAACACACACACAAUCCUCAAUCCCCUCUUUUGUAUACAUGAAUGUGGGCAAGAGCACUUCAAAAUGAUGGGUUUCUGUUUUCACCAGCCAUUUCCACACCUUUGUUUCAUCAGCAUGACCCUCCCCCCCUCCCCCUUGCUUUUGGAAGUUCAUCUUGUGUAGUGUACUUGGCCCCUGGAAACUGGCUCUUGAUCUAUUGCCUCUAGGAGGGUGUGGUAGUAUCAUUCAGCAGUAGCAGAGCAUUGUUUUUACAGUAGCAGGUCAGAGAGAACCUCAGUUGCUUGUAAGGGCAGGCAUGGUGGUUUAACAGACCUGCAUCAGUGGGGCUCAAUGAAGUGGGUGACAGUUAGGCUGUUGCUAUGCUGGUCCUGUUGCAGAGAUGUGGUUUUGGAAUGCUCCAUUGGCUAUCAUCACACCAUGUUUUCACAUUGAAGAGAAGGGGCCACACUAUCUAUAUCUAUAUUUAUUUAUUCUGUUGCAAUGCAGUAUACAAGCAAGCUUGCUACUGUAGUGUGUAAUGUAAUGGGAGAGAAUUUGAGUUUUAUUUUCCCCAAAAAGUGCACCAAAUUUAACCCCAAGAAGAUUGCCUUUAUCAGAUCCAGCAUCUGAUUGAGGAACAAAACCAGCCCCUUCACUACUUUACCAUCUAGGUGGAAAUCAAACCUCAAUACCAGACAGUUCUCUACACAUGCACAUGUUGAAUACAAUUCAACUGUGGAAGCUGCAACAAUAAAAACUAACACAAAGAAUGGGUCCUGUGGGAGUCACUUUCCAGUAAUGAGUUUUUUCCACCUGGGCGGACACUGCCAACCUGGAUGCUAUUGAAGGCGAGGAUUCAUCCCACCCGCAUGCCACGUCAUUCUUGGUGUCUCCAGGGCACCCUCUGCGGCAGACACACUGUCAGACAUUCUAUACAAUCCAUGAAUGUGAAUCUGGUCUGGAAUUCACUUGAUGGGAACUCAUAGCCAUGCAAGGACCCCCCCCCAGAGGACAGUUCCUCUAAUGCACUGGAAGUGAUCAUGUCCUGGCAUUUCUCUAUACCCAAUUUGCAUAUCAUCUCAAUACCUCACAUUGCAAAAAGUCAGAUACAUUAGUUUUGCAGUCAGCACAGCCAUGUUUCUUUGAUAUCCUAUGGCCCUGCUUGUAUUCUAAUUUGGGGGAUGUGUGUGGAUGGAUUAUUGGUAUGAAAGCAUUCUUUAUCUUGCACAACACUAGUCUUUGUUUACUUCAUCUUUUGCAAUUUUGGCAAUCCUCACAACAUUGGGUUUUCUUUUUUAAAAUAAAAAAUCUUUUGAUAUUUAUUAUUAUGAUUAUUUGAAAGAAAUAAAUAUCUCCUUGGUAUUGUAUUGGUAGUGGCUAUUGAAGUUGUUUAGAGAUGUCAUAUUGAGUUAGUAUCAAGACCCUAAUUGAAGUUGAUUUCAGGUUGCUCAGAAUAUUGUCCAGGACCCAGUUGCAAUGACCCAGUCAUACCAGAUAUAUAUUUUUUUAUUUUUUAAAUGUCUUUAUCAUGUCUUUACAUAUGCUAUGUACACAUUCCCCAUAUAUUACACCACCUCUUGAUAUUGACCAGUGGCAUGAAUCUGGAUGAAAUAUGGUCACCAUUGACACACACACUGUUGUAUGCAAAGCUUUUUUCUUUUUUCUUUUUUCUUUUUUGUACUUUUUCAUUCUUUUUUAUUUUCUGAUUCCCCCUUUUCUUCUCAACAAGAAACCCAGCUGUUGAAUUCAGUCUUAUUCAAACAACACCAUUGUGUGGGCAUUAAUACUUGAACUCCUCAACUUCCACCCCACCCCACACAUGCACACACACACACACACUCUCACACAAUAGAUGAUCAAAACUCCUGAGCAGCGUAAGUUGAACACAUGAAAGAGAGAAAGUAAGGGAAGGGGAGGGGAGGGGAGGAGAGUUGGGUUGGGGUUGGAUGAGGGCCAAGGUGUGAGGAGGCACAUGGAGGUGCCAGGCUUAGCACAUGGGUGGGGUGCUGCUGCUUCUAGUGCCUGCUGGCUGCUGUGGCUGUCUCUGCUUUCCUCUAUUAGCUCUGCUUCCUCCUGCUGGCUCUGCUUCCUGCUGCUCCUGCUCCUGCUGGUGGUUGUGGUAGUGGUAUGGUAGUGGUGGUAGUAGUGGUGGGCCCACCCCAGCCCCCUCCCUCCCUGACUGACUCUGACUGACUAUCUCCAUGCAUUUACUUCACUUCCCCACACUACCCUACCUUACUUACUGCCACUACUGCCUGCCAUCCAAAUGCAAGGGGAGGGGAGGGGGAGAAGGCUAUGAGUGCCCACACACAGGCUGUGACUGCGAAGCUGAGGGAGGGAGAGAGGGAGGGAGGGAGGGAGGGAGGGAGGGGGGAUUUGAGAGCUCAUCGAACUGGAGUUGUUGUUGGAUCAUCUGCUCUGCUGUGCUCUGCUCUUGCUUGUGUGCCUAUCUGGGCAGAGCAGGGUAAAUCCUCUGCCUCCCACUUGCAAUCCCUACUUUGACCUGGAGAAUUCGUUUCAAAACAUAUUUCACUACUCAAACCAUCCUCGAAGCCAGCCCAGCCCCUUUACAAUUAAAGAUCCCUUCCCCUUGUUGUGUUCUCUUUUGUUAGUCUGCGUGCCUUUCUGGCUUUCUUUCUUCUGUCAUCAACAAACAAAGGAAUGUGUGGAUGAAUGAAGGAGGGGGUGAGUGUGUGGAUGAAUGAAGGAGGGAUGAAUGAGACAAUUGUGCAUGUGGGAGGGUGGGUGUGAGGCCAUUGGGGCCCCAUAAAGCUUUCAAACACAAACCCAGAAUCACACAUUCUGAAAAGGGGCAGUGGCAAUGCUGAACAUUUCUCCCAGCAUCAUCAUCUCAGUUGGAGAGGCUUGACCUAGUCCAGUGCAAUUCCACACAUAGAAUGUGCAACAAUGAAGCAGCAAGUGCAAAAAAGGAAGUCAGGGAUGGGAAUGGGGAAGGGCAAGAAGGAUAUUCUCAUUCUCAUCCUGUGCACUCAGCCAGCAUUCUCUUCUAUCAUCUCUCUCUCUCUCUCUCUCUCUCUCUCUUUCCUUCCCCUUUUGUUUUGGGUAGGGGGGUGUUAGGAAUUUGCCUACAUAAUAGAAUGAGAAAAUCAUAAAAAUAAAAAAAAUAAAAAUAAAGUUGACAAAAACAAAAUUUAGAGAAGUGUACUCUCAAAUCUACAAUAGUAGGGUUCUAUAUGGAACAACAACAUUUCUAGAGAUAAAACCUAAUACAUUUAAAAGACUAAAAUCAAAAUUUCUUCAGGAGGCAAAGCUCCCAAAAAUCCCCUCAAAAGGCACUGCCUCUUGACCCUGCUUAUUGACCAACUAGUGGGAUUGUCGUAGGAGGCAUUGCCGUCCCUCUAAGUCCCCUGCAUUUGUCACGGGUAUGAAUUAGGCUACACACAACAACAAUCUUCUACUUAGAAACUAACCUAACAACAACAACAACAACUCUUUUGAAAUCUUGUCUUCUUUUUGUAAAAUAAUAGUGGUUCUAGUCCAACUCCUCUUCAUCAAUAAUUGUGGAUGCCAAUUGAGGCUUUGCACAACUUUAAUUUCUCAAUAGUAACAACCUUGGUAAACAUGUCUAUUGGAUUCUUUGAUCCAAAGAUCUUCUUCAAAGACAACAUUCCAUCAUCUAUAAGUUUACAUAUAAAAUGAUACCUUACUUAAAUAUGCUUGUCCUUGAAAGAAAUACUAGAUUAUUUAUAAGAUGAACUUUACUUUGGAUUUUACUAAAAAUAGUAUUUUAAACUUGCUCUUUGUCUAAUUCUUUUUUUUAAAAAUGAUUCAAAUCAUUUCCUUUCUAGCUUUUGAGAUGGCCAUGAAUUCUACUUUUGUAGUUGAUAAGAUAACAUUCUUUUGAAGUUUAGACAUCCAACUUACAAUGGAAUCUCUUAAAGUCAAUAAAAAACAUAUCAUGCUUCUAUAAUUAUCUAAGUUAUGACUCAAAUUUGCAUUAGUAAAUCCUUGCAAAUCACACUAUUCUUCUCAAAACAAAGUGCCAAACUUAAAGUGUCUUUUAAAUAUUGCAAUAUCUAAUUUGCAAAUUUUUAAUAUAUCUUUUUAGAAUUUUUCAUGUAUUUUCUCACAAUUCCCAUUGCAUAUUUGGUCUAAUAUAAUUCAUAAUAUAUAUCAAGAUUCUAAUUGCCAAUACAUAUGGAACCUUCUUUAUAUGCUUUUGAUCUUUAUUUUUCUUUGGUGAUUGUUUCUUUGUAAGUUUGAGGUGACUUGCCAAAUGUGAUUUUAUAGGCUUUGCAUCAUAAAAAUUGAAUCUGCUCAAUAUAUUAUCUAUAUAUUUCUCUUGAGAUAGAUCUAAAGUUCCUUCAACUCUAUCCUUAGUAAUCCUCAUCUCAAUUGUAUGCUUUGAAGAUUCUAAGUCUUUUAUUCUAAAUUCUUUUGAUAAUUGUUACUUUACUUAUUUAUCUCCUCGUCAAAGUCUACUUACACAUAUAAAAUACAACCAAAAAUUCUUAAGAUAUAUAUAUAUAUAUAUAUAUAUAUAUCCAUAUCUUAUCUUAUAUUUGGAGGUCCAAAUAAUUUAAAGGUCUUUAAUUUAUCAAAUAAGUUUCUAUGUUGAUUGCAUAUGCUCAAAAAUAUUUGGAUAAUCUUUAAUGUAUCUUUAUGAUUGUUGUAUAUUUAUUCAAAGUGUUUUUCAUCCUUUCACAAUAUCAUUUUGUUUAAGAAUUCUUAGAAUUGUCUUUAUUAUUUGAAUUCUAAUUUUUACACAAAAUACCUUGAAUUUUAUGAUGUUAAACUUUCAUCCAUCAUCUAAUCUUAGAUACUUGAUUUUUAGAUUGGUAUUAUUUUUAAAUUUAAUUUUAUAUCUUUUAAAAGUAGAAAACACAUUAGAUUUAUUUUUUAAGAAACAAAUUAAUAUCUUUUGAUAGAAUCAUUGAUGAAGGUGGUAUAAUAGCAUAAACUUCUGAAAGACUAAACUAGAGUAAUUUCCUAUAUGUCUAUAUAUACCAGCUCUAAUUUUUCUUUCUUUGGUUACCUUCCAACUUUUGAAAAACUAACUCUUUUUUGCUUGUCAUAGAUACAAUCUUUACAUAAGCCAACAUCAACAUCUUUCAAAUUAGAUAGUUGUUCUUUUGAUACUAGCAAUUUUUUUUCUUUCUUACUUAUGUCCUAAAGUUUCUACUGCCAUAGCUUAGAAUCAACUUCACAUUUAGCUACUACUAUUGUAUCAUUGCUUUCUUCAGUCAUGUACAAUGUUUUCAACUUCUUACCUCUUACCACAAUCAUGAAUCACUUCCAAAUUUUGUUAUAUAUCUUAUAUUAUCUAGUUGGCUUAUAGAAAUUAGAUUUUUUUUUUAAGCAAGGAAUAAAGCUUAUAUCUUGUAACUUCUAUUAGGUACCAUUUGCAAUCUUUAUAUGAAUAUCACCCUUUUCCAUAAUAUCUAAAGAUUCAUCAACUAAAUAAACCUUUUCAAAUUUCUCAACAAUAAAGUUGUAUAAUAAUUCUUUGUAUGGAGUUGACUAAAAUGAUACACCCAAGCCUACGAUUUAAGACUUGAUAGGAUUUAUUACAUUGCAAAUAAAAAACAUCAUAUAUCUCUUUAGUAGUAACAUUUGCUGAUUUAUCUUCUUGAUGUUUAUACUUUUAAUAUUUUUGAUUCUUCUUAUUCUUCUAUAGCUGACUGCAAUUAUUAGAAAAAUAAACCUUAGUACUGCAAUUCUAGCCAGUAAUAUCUUUGCAAGGUUUCAAUUUAUUCCUUUCUUUGGACUUCAAUCUAUAUUCUUGUUGAUAAUUCAUUUUUCUAUCUUUAUAAUUCAAGACAAAACCUAAAGAUUUUCUUAACUCUAUUCUACAAACAUCUUCAAUGAGAAUUAAAUCUUGAACUUUGUUAAGUUUCAUUUUCUUACUUUUUAAAGAACUGCUUACUAUGGUAACAAUUGCAACUCAAACUUCAAACAAGGAGGACAAUAGAAUCAAAGCCUUGAUCUUGUCAUCAUAGGUUAGUUCUACAAAAUUCAAUUGGUUUGUAAUAAUAUUAAUUUUUUUAAUGUGAUUAGCAACGAGGUUUAUUAUCAAUGCAAGAAUGUACCUUAUUAAAGAUAGAAGGCUUUUUGUACAUGCUUAAUAAUGAUGUUGUAUUGUAAUAAAACUAUUAGGUGAAAUAAAAAAGAAAGAUUAUACUAUAAAAGAGCUUCAUUAAAAAAAUUAUAGAAAAUUACUUUAAAAGUAUAGAUAAUAGUAAAAAAGAUAGUAAAAUUAAUAAGUGCUAAUAUUGCUUCUUUGUAAAAUUAGGCUUCUAUUUACUUUCUAUGACCAUAAAUAAGGAGAAAAAAAAAGUAGAAAUUUUAUAAAUAAUUAAUAUUUAAAAAUAUUUCAAAGCAAAAAUUAUCUUAAAAAACCAAAAAUUGAUAUUUGAAGAAGAUUGGUUGUAAAUUAGAAUCAAAAUCAGACCAUGAGGCACAAAACCAUACACAAAUAAUAAUUCUUGAGAUUCUUUGGUUGAUUAAAGAGCAAGAUUUGAAUGAAAAUUAAAAUGAGAUUAUUAUCAAGGUUGGAAAAGAAUGUUGGCUAACUUCCAAAUAGAUUAGAGGGUUUAUCUUCUAUUUGAUAAGUUCAAUUUUUUUUCAAAUUGUUUCUGCUUGUUGUCAACUAAGUAAUUGAAAAGUGCACAAAAUUUGAGUCAAAAUCUAUAGUUAAAUUAUUAGUUAUUAUGGUUUUAAUUAGUUGUAGGAUUUUUAAGUGUUUUUUUAGGGUUUGAUAAGGAUUUAGAAUUUGAUUAGGAUUUGAUUGGAAUUUGGUUUAGGAUUUAGGAUUAUAUUAGUAUUUAAUUAGGAUUUAGUUAGGAUUUCAUUAAGAUUGUUUUAUAAUUUUAUUAGGAUUUUUUUAAAGUUAUAUUAGGGUUUGAUUAGAAUUUACUUAGAAUUUACUUAGAAUUUUAAUUUUUAAUAUUUUAAUAUAUAUAUGUAUAUAUAUAUAUAUAUAUAUAUAUAUAUAUAUAUAUAUAUAAUUUCUUUAGAAAUUAUUUAGGAUUUUUUUAUAUUUCUUUUAUAAUAUCUUUAAGAUUUCUUUUGAAUUUGAUUAAGAUUUGAUUAUGAUUGUUAAGCUUUAAUUGAUAUUUAUUUAGAAUUCUAUUAGAGUUGUUAGGACCUUGUUGCAAUUUUUAAUUUACCUUCCACAACCAAGUGCUUGAUGCAUUCUCAAAAAGACUCUAACACAUGAAUUUGGAUAAAACUUUGAGAAGACAAUAUACUCUUAUCUCAUUAAAAGAAAAAAAGUAAACAAAUAAGACAUAGACAUAAGAUAAAAAGAAAUUAGAUUAAAUAUUAUUAAUUACAAAGAAACUAAAAAACCUUGAAACAAGACUAGAAUAUAAUAAAUAUGCUGAUAAGACUUAUAAUGGUCUUAAUCUUUCUUUUAUUUACACUAGCUACCAAAAUAUCUUAUAGAAGCUCUUUGGAGAUUAUAAUACUUGUAGCUUAAAUGCUAAGUAGUAUAUUGCUUCUAAUGCAAUUUCUUAUAAGAAACUUAUAAGAUUCUUUUUCAUUAGCCACAUGGUAUAUCUAUAAAAAUCUAAAUAUCUAAAUAAUGUCAAAGAUACUUCCUCAAAGCUUCUUAAGGAAAAUAUCAUCUAAUUAAUAUGUUUGUACCUACUUCUACUUACUUCUAUUAACUUUUAUUUAUUUAAGUAAUAUGUGAAUUUGUUGGAGAUUCAAAAUAGCAAUUAUUGCAUUCUGAAAUUAUUGUAAAGCUUUAAAAAUUUGCUAUGGUAUAGAUAAUGUAUCUAUGGAUAUUUGUUUUUUAGUUGGUAUAAAAGAAAAUUUGAGAAUAUUUAAAAGAUUUAAUGUCAAUAAAGAGUAAUCACAAAAAUAUAAUAGAAAUAAAAGUAAACAAUCAAAGUCUUAUGUUCUAUUAAAAAAUAAGAAGAUCAAUGUGAUGGUUGCAAUGUCACUUUGUACUUGUGUGUCUAUACAUAAAAGAUGGAGCUGAAUAAGAUUACAAUAAAACAAAUAAUUGCAAUAUUUUAACUUAUAGAAUUAUUGAAAUAGAAUAAGUUAAAAGAACUAAGAGAGAAUAAUAGAAAUUAAAAUUGUUUACUCAUAUGCAUUGAAGAAAGAAAUAUUUUUAGUGGGUUUGGAAAGGAUAACAAAGAGAUUUUAAAAUAAAUAAAUUGCAUACUUAAACAAUAAAUUAUUGGCAAAUGAAUUAUUAGAACACUUUAAGUAGAAAUACAUUUAAUUUUUGGAGGAAAAAGAAAAAAGAGAGUAUACAUAUUAUUGAUUUCAAUGGACACAAAAGUUUGAUUUAUUUUUAGAAUAUAAAAAUAUAAAAUGGUAAUUUUAAUAAGUAAAAAAAAACUAAAACUCAAAUAGAAUAUAUCAAGAAUUAAUAAAAAUAUUAUAAAUUAAUUAGAAGUAGAAGUAAAACAAUCCAUUUAUGAACCAUUCUUUUAACUUUUAAUUUUAAUUAUAUAAUUGUAGUUUUUUAAAUAUAAUAAAUACUCAAAAUUAAAAUUUAAAAUAGUUAAAUUUAGGCAAAUAAUAAUUUUAAUUUUUUUUAAAUAAUAUAUAUAUAUUUUUUUUAAAUAAUAAUUUUUAAAAUAAUAAGAAGAAGAUUGACUCCAUGGCACAUUUGAUAUGAUAGUUCUAAUCAAUUAAAGAAAAUACUCAAAAUGAUAUGGUUUUUUCAAUGUUAUUUUAAUAUUUUUUUUCAAUGUUUACUUAUUAAAUAUAUAAAAAUAAAAAUAAAAAUAAGAUUGAGAGAAAAAAAAUUUUAUAAAGUUAAAUGAUAUUAGAUUUUCUAUUGUUAAGAGUCUUGAAACAAGACUAUAAUACAAAGUUGUUGAUAAGACUAAGAAUGGUCUCAAUCUUGCCUCUAUAUAUACUAGCUAACAAGAAGGCUAUAUAAAAACUACUUAAACACCACAAGACUUAUAGAUUAAGUGUCUAAGUUGAAAGGCACCUCCACAGUGAAUUCUUAGAAGUUUUUUACUCUAAAAGAAGUAAUUAGAAUUACAUGGUGCAUCUAUAUAUCUUAUUACUAUUUAGGAAGCUUCUAUGAUGUUUUUUAAUAAAUACAUUAUCUUAAUAAUCUGUUUCUACAUAUUUCUAUUUUUAUUUGCAUAAGUAGUAUAGGUUUCUAUAAAACUAGCAAACCAUUGGAGACAAACUUCAAAAAGAGUGGUACAAAUGCAUUGAUAUAUAAGACAUUAAAAAUUCCAAAAUGUAUGAUACAUAUGUAGAAUGGAAUUAGUAAGGUGUUGAGAUAUUCUAUAUCAAGAGAGACAAUGUUAUUUCUAAAAGAUUUACUAAAAAAGACAACGAUUCAAAAAUUAAAUACAAAAGAAUAUUAGAAAUUAGUUUUAAAAUUAUAUAAUAAAAUAAUAAAAUUGACAUAAUUAAUAUAUAUUAAGUCUAACAAUAUUAGGAGCAAAAUCAAAGUUUGGAAUAAAAAAAUUAGUGCUUUUCAGUUUUUUCUUCCUGUAGAAAUAACAUUCUAUGAAUCAACUGGUAUCAUGGUUGGCAAAAGGGGUCCCAUCCAGAAUCGAGUCCCAUCCAGACUUUGAAGAAUCCCUGUUUAAAAGAAACACAGAAAGGACGUUCUGGACAAGAUGCAGAGGUAAAACUGCUUUAGAGCCAUAUCCACAGUAAUGAAGCUCUUUUCCACUGUUCCAGCUCGGAGAAGCAGCUCAUGGAGGGGAGGUCAUAAGAUUAUGAGGGAAUUGUAAGAGAUCUGAUAGCAGUCUCAACGUCUUUACGGACUGAAGUUACGAGUACAAAUGUAGGCAGAAUGAUAUCCCCUCACGUCUUCCCUCCAAUAUGAAGCAUUAGACCGAAUAGUCUGCUGGCAAAUCCCUCAGAUCCAUUACCUCCUAAUGACAAGACUCCAUAACCUCCCAAUUUCAAUACAAAGUUGAAUGUACAAACCUGCUAGUUCUGAAACUAACCCACAUAAUCUCUACACUAAUCUCACUGUCAAACAGUAAGAUAUUUCCAUCCUAGUGACCAGAUCAUUUCUUCACUGGCUUUGACUUCCAAACGUUCCGAGUUCUCCAAUUGUCCUGCCAGCCUCAACCAAGACUCCGUGACUUGCGGAAGCGAGAGUCCACUUGAUAAAAUCAGAAACGCAUAUCCUAUCGGUCAUAAAAAAAACAUGAAAUUCGAAAAUAAAGUAGCAAACAUCCUAAUAAAAAGCCAAAAGAAAAAGUAACACCCAAAAACUCAGAUAUAAGACUUCAAACUCCAACAGUAAUUAAAAUGUCUAAUGUGAUGCUGAAUUAACCAAAAGGGACUUGAUUGUACGUGGAAAGUUCCGACUUACCAAGGGCUCGUCGUCCUCAGCAAUUCCUACAGCUUUCCCUUCAACAGGUAACUCUUCCGACAUCUCUUUGGCACUUUCGGCUUCUGAAUCUUUGGACGUGCCCAUAGUUUUCUCAUUCUUAUCGGCCUUGGAUUGCUUCCCACCUGAAGCUGCUUAAACACACAAAAUAGUACUUUAGAGUGAUACCAUACGCACGCUUAUGUUAUAGCAAGUUGGGACUCCCAAUCUGAACUCUCCCGUAGACUUACAUCACAAAGAGUUUUUGAAACUAAAUGCUCAAUCUGAAGAUUCAGGUUCCAGUCAUGCAAUCCCCUAAUUCUCGCUUGAAGUAUCUGAUGAUCGUACGGAUACUCGUAACCAAACUAGUGUCUCUAAACCUAAUUCUUUAAAGGAGUAACUGAAAUUUUCUCAAACAAAAUGGAGCCAGAGGCACAUUCUGAGUCCUUCAUCCCUGAAAUAUUUUCCAGCAACUGGGUAUCUAGUCAAGUUUGCCCAGAAAUUUGCCGAACCGAAUCAUUCUCAAAAUCUCUCGAUAGCACCAACUAAUACGACGCGAGAACAUAAAGACAGAUAAAUUAAUAAAAAAAAAACACAAAUGUCGACCAACUAAAAAUUGAGACAUAGUGGGCAGAUUUGAAAAAUUCUAGAGAAAAUUACCUUUGAGCGAUUUUUGUCUCUUCGCCUCAGGUUCAACCCCUUCAUCAUCAAACUCAAAAGCAUCUGCCGCCUGUUCUUUGGUGGUAGGAGAUUUGGCCACUUUUGCGGGUUUCUCAGCUUCCUUAGCUGACUUGGGAGUGCUUGUUCGCUUCGCUGAUAAAGUGUCUUUACUGUUGAAAAUCAUAGCAGUCUGAAUAAGUUUGCUACGUUAUACUGACACUAAAAAUUAACGUCAGUACAGAAACAAACUGAAUACCAUCUACGAUUGACUAGGCCAACCCAAUUCUGAACUGAAAAAAACAUUGUUCUAACACUAAACGGAUAAGUACUCCAGGCCAUGAGAGAAAUAACAAUCAAUUUAUAACUAAAUAUCUACCAAACACAUGAGGGCCUCGUGCAAGAAAAUGCAAUAGACGAUCCCCUAGGUACCAAUCUACAUUAAUCACAUAAAUAAAUAAACGAUGAGGUGUCAGAUGGUGUUACGGACUCGUCUUGUUUUGUCGGUGGUGUCUUGGAGGUCACCUUCAAUCUCUUGGGUUCCGGGCUGACAAGAUAGCAAAAAAAUGUUAAGUGACUCGCCGUUCGCACGUGCCUUUGAAAAUAGUCGCAAAUCAAAGAACUGAAUCGCGAUUUCUGUGAUGACUAAGCAUGCGCAUAAAUGCACGCAAAUACAAAGCGACUACAAGUUUCUUUAGAAUGAGCAUAAAAUAAAACAAGGAUCAAAGAUACGAAACGUACUAUUUUGUUCCUGAGAGUGUUGGAGUAGUAGCUGGUGUCUGCAAGAACAAGCGUGCAUUUAUGUGCAUUAGAAUUUAAUACAAGACGUGGGUAUUAAAUUCUCAAGCUUCUUAACACAUUCCAACAAAUAUAAAUAACAUGCGAAGAGGUCGUUCCAGAAGAACGAAGAUAGAGUUCACACAACUACCUUCUCCUUCUUUGCAGAAGUCUUGUUCUUUUUGUCAGUUAGCUCCCACCGCUCCUUCGUCAAAUUCAGUAUUUCCGUUUCCCCGUCGUUAUAUAAAAUCUAACAAGAUGUGGAACGAAGUUGAAAUGUUUAAUGUAGAGCCAAGGUCCAAGCCUUUGAUACAUGAGACACAGAAAAGCCAGUAGCUCGCGAAUCUUCUAAACUUAAGGACUCACGUACGAACAUAUCGAAUCGGUUCAACCAAUAUGCAAUUAAAAAACUAAUCUAAUAUAAAUGUGGCAUAUGAUAUACCUUGUGCUUCCUCUUCUUGGCAUCAUAAUCCACAACAGACCCUUUGUAGAAUCUGCACAAAAGCAUUUGUCAGUUCGGUUAAAUAUGAGACACAAUGAAUCAUUCCCAAGAGCACAGCGUGCUAAGUCCAAAGUAAGAUCUUCCACAUGAGAUGCUGAGGGAUUUAUAAAAAUUAUUAGAUAAACUAUAUUCUGCACGUAGGUCAUAACAUCAACACGAAGUAAAACUGAAAAACAAUACACCAAUCUGUAGUUCAAAGCUUCGCUUGUCAUUUCCUUGUUAAUUUUUCGCAAAACUCAUCGUGCAAGGUGGUACACUUACCUCUUAUCCAAAGGCCACCAGACUUUGAUACCACAGCCAACAAGAGACUCAUCUCCGCCCCUCUCGCCUUCAUUCUUCCAAGCUGGGCUCUCACUCUAGAUCCAAAUUGUCCAUUUACAAGUAAGUGGUAAUUGUAUUUUUGAGAUUAAUCAAACAAGACAACCAUGACUAAAAUCGCCGGGAUGACGGAUCUCACAUCUAUCGUAUCCACAAGCGUGACUCAACAGAAACCUGAUUAUGCAUAUCCAUACCAGACCACUCACACAAAAUAACCGCGGAAGAGAGAGAAGGAGAGAGCAAAAAAGGGGGAGAGAGUAGCGUUAAAAAGAAGUGUCUUGAAAGACUGAUUCGCCAAAUUCUAACCUUUUCAACAGCACUUGCUUUUUUGGCCGAUUUAUCAGGAGUAGAGACAAGGCCUUGACUUAUGUUCACCUGUCAAAACACAAAAUCCAAAGCAGCAUCAGGUUCUUAAGUCACUUCAUACAAUACAAAGCAGAUUUUUGCACCAAAUUACAGAAGAAUGGACAUCAAGCAUCUUAAGGCACCAUUAAGGAAUUAUUCAAGGAUAUUCUAGUAAACAAUUCAAGAAUUUUCAGAUAACGAUCUACUUGAUGUUGCAUCAAAACACUUCAACAACAGUACUAACCUUCUCUUUCUUCUGUGCACUUUUCUCCUGUACAUCAUCAUCAGAUUUCGCUUUGGCUGGACGCCCAGGCUUUCUCUUGCCAGACUCUGUUAAGGAGCGGUCGCCAGCGACUGGCUUUCCUUUUUUGGCCGAUGUAGUAGGUGUCGUGUCUGAGGAAGCUCCUGCCAUUUCAUCCCCACUGAUUCCAUCAUCCUUCCUACUAGAACCUUUGGGCCGACCACGUUUGCGUUUUGCAGGAGUCUUUUCAUCCAAGUCCUCUUCAGGUUCUUUUCCCACUUCAGGCUUCUUUGCUGACUUCUUCGCAGACUCAUUUUUAUCCACUGACUUCCUUCCACCACGAGCAGGUCCCUUAAUUAUAACUCCUGUUCCCACAGUUGCAGCACCCUUUGUUGAUUUAUCAUUUCCAAGUUUACCCUUCUUAGGUGUAGGCUCACGCACACUUUUCUCUUCCAUCUCCAGCUCUGCAUCUGAAACAGUUUCUCCGUUGUCGAAUCGCUUCCCUCGUUUGCGACCCCUUGGGCUUGAAGGCUAUUCAAACAAAAAACACACAGGAUAACAAUAUCUGAUAAGUACAUCCUACCUGCUUGGCAGGUUUGUGCAAGACCAUUGUAAAGUUACAUGGGAUCUCUACUUAAGCGAUUAACUUAAAUCGUUCCACAGGAUUACCUAGUAUCAGCAAAUCAGGUCACUCCAUAAAAAUAAUUCGUAUCUUCAUGACAGCUAUAUAUGAGCUAACUCCAUAACGCUGUACAAAACAAUAUCUUUCGUUACAUUAACUUCCCAGGACAGACGUCUGCAGAAAUUUCCCUAACUCAUAGAGAUGGCAAGAGACCUUAUGAGUCUUUGAAGAGCUUCCAAGCUUGAAUUUCGCUAAAACACCCUUGUCCUUAAAGCAAGCUGGCAGAUGGCUACCGUCCACCUGCGAAAAUAUCAACUUUUGAAGUUUAGGCGUAACAGAACUAAGUCGCAUGUGAAACCCUGGAGAAGUGUGUUGAAAUUGGUGCGCUUAUAUAAAUUUGAAGGUCAUAUGUACCUAUUACAGCAACAAAGGCCUAAAUUUCUAAAGGUAUUCCGCAGUAGGACCUUGCGUAUUUUAUAAAACACAAAGCAUCGACUGAUGUCGUAUUUGGCGACUAUGUAGAUAAGAGAUUUACUGAUCCUUAGAAGGUGUAAAAACAAAUUAAAAUAUCUUCUCCUCAUUGCCAUAGAUAUGAUACUAAGAAGGCACGUAUUUCCUUCUAUAGCUGGACAAUGGUCCACAUACAUGCAACAAUUACACCUUGGACGCUAUUCCUUAUAUUCGAUUCAGGUUAAGGCAGCUCAUUACAGCAGAGGAUGGACUACGAAGUAAUUUUAGAUGACCUAUUAAUUGCAAGACACAGACAUCAGAGAAAAUGAUAUCACCUUUGAGGGCCCUUCCACUGCUUUCUUAGCUUCAGUCACUCCAGUCUUCUCUUCCUCUCCAAUUGAGGAAACCGUUGCAUCUGAUUCAGGGCCUUUGGAUGCAGUUUCAGCCAGUUCUGGUAACUUGGACUCGGUUGGUUCAGGUGCCCCAGACUUGGAUGGUUCAGAUUCUUUAGAUUCAGUUGAUUCAAGUGCUUUGGUUUCAUUUGGUUCAGCUAUUUCGGUUUCCAUUGGCUCCAGUGCUACGGACUCUUUGGGUUUAGCUGUAUCGGUUUCCAUUAACUCAAGUGCAACGGACUCUUUGAGUUCAGCUGUAUCGGUUUCCAUUGACUCAGGUGCUACGGAUUCUUUGGGUUCAGCUGUGUCGGUUUCCAUUAGCUCGGGUACUACGGACUCUUUGGGUUCAGCUGCCUUGGGUUCGGCUGACUCAGUUGCCUUGAUUCCCUUUGGUUCGGCAGCGCCGGUACCCACUGACUCAGGUCCGGCGGAUUCCUCGGGUUCAGAUGCCUUGGAUCCAUUUGCUUCAGCUGCAACAGUUUGGAUUGGUUCAGGUUCCAUGGAUUCAUCUACCUCGGCUGCCUUGGAUUCACUUGGUUCAGUGGCCUUGUCUUCUUUUGAUUCAGAUACCACGGUUUCCAAUACAUUAAGUUCAGCCGUCUUGACUUCAGAGGGUGGCUUGGAUUCUGUGGCGUUUAGUUC